rnacentral:lncRNA from 1 species
UAAGAGAAGCUACCAUUGGGGAAAAUGCAGCAGAGAUUAAAAGGAAUGCAUUGAAGUGGAAGGAGGCGGCAGAAGAAGCGGUGGCAGAGGGCGGUUCUUCUGAUCGGAACUUAAAAGAGUUUGUGGAUAAGCUGAUGAUGAACUGAAUGUCAGUGAUGCAUAUAAAAUAAACAUGACUUAUAGGGUUAAGAAUUCAUGAUAAUAUUGUGUAUAGAUUUAUGAAACUGUGUGAGUACUUAAAUUUGUGUCAUUCAACCAUUGCGAGACAUAGUGUCCAGGAUUGAAUUUUAUCUUGCGGUAUAAAAAAUACUUAGAUUGCGUUCACUUGGAUGGAAUAAAAUGAGAAUAGAUUGAAAUGGAAAAUUAUAAGAGAUUGAAAUGGAAAAUUAUAAGCAAUUUUUAGGAAGAAAGAAGAAAGCAGGAGGUCAUAGUGACUAAAUAUGAGUGAGUCUGAAUUUAUUAUGAUAAUCAUUGUAGGAAAACGUAAUGAAGAAGUGAAAUAAACACAUUUCACUGAAUAGAAAGCACACAAAGAAAACAACUGAAAUGGUCUAAAAAUCUCUCUAUCUGAGACAUCCUAAUUAAUAGACCAAGAGAGACCUGCAGAACUUUCUCCCGAGCGAAAUGAAAAUGUGUUUCUAUAUGUUCUCUUCGUGUGUGAAAGACUGGAUUUUCAGUAAUCUAGCACUUUCAUCGUCGCAGUAAAUGAGAAAGAGUAUCUACCAUGUACAGUGUUUGUUUAAAGAUGAAAUCUCCUCUUGCAUCGCCUCUUCUCAUACAGUUAAAUCUUCAGAGAUAAGGUUGAGGAAUGAUUGAGAACAGGGGACUUGAAGUGCAUAAGAAUCCUCAUGCAGUCAAGUACUCCAGGGAUGAUGGUAUGACACAAUGUUGGAAUUAUAUUCUAUAAUCUAAACUUGGAAUAAAUAAAUUAGUAUAAUCACUAAUUGUUUUAUUAGUAGAGGAUAAGUUAAAAAAAUUGUGGGAGAGUAUUGGAUUAGUAAUUAGUGUUUUUAGGAUCGUGGAGUAGUAAAAUUUAGUUUCAAGUGGACACUAAUUAGUUGUUAUUAUUUUGUUGGGUAGCUUUUAUAUAUUAUGUAAACUAUCUCUUUUAAUAUUCAAUAGCAAUACAAUGUAGUCCAAGAUAUAUAGCUUUCCUUCUUGUACAUAGCGCUUAUCAUUCUAGUUUUAAGAAUACAUUUACUUCUUGUUUGUGCAUACAAGUUUGAGUGUUUUUGUCUAUGUGUGUUUGUAACCAGUUUAUAUGAGCUCUUGAUUCACAAAAACAUAAGUUUCUAAAUGCUGAAUCGUAAAACAUACUCCCUUCGUUUUGAAAUAUAGGUCGCUUGACUUUUUUGCACGUAUUUUUAAGUCAUUUGAUCGAUGCUUAAAAUCAUUAUUUUUGUAAUUUUCUUUUUUUGAAUAAUAAUAUCAAUCAUAUAUUUUUAUUCAAAAAAGGAAUAUUUCAAAAAUAAUGAUUUUUAACAUGCAGUCAAAGUACUUGGAAACACGUGCAAAAAAAAAUCAAACGAUUUAUAUUUCAAAACAGAGGGAGUAGAUGGUAAUUUUCUUAACAAAAGUAUGGUAUCUCGCGUACAUAUAUGUAUUUCUAAUUAAAUAUAUUAUGUAUAAUGACAUGUCAUUUGAUAAAGAGUGCUGGGUGUACAAGACUGUUUACAAAAAAUUUGUACAUAAUAACAUGACAAUUGAUGUGGUGGGUUGUAAUUUGGGUUGUUGAUGUAAAUACAGGAAGCCCACGACAAGUCGUUAUGUACCAAAUUUUGUAUGUAAUUAUGUACACCAAGCAUUUUCUUUUGAUAAAAUUUAGACAAUUUACCUCGAAUACCUAGCAUAAGAGAUGUGCAUGGCGCGGUUUGCACCUAAAACCGCAACCGGAACCAUAAAUGUGUGGUUUUUGAAAUUGAAAACCGAAACCAAACCAAAUAUUAUUGGUAUGAUUCGGGUUAUAAUAUGAACGGUUACGAUUUUAAAUGGUGCGGUUCAGUUUUCAAACCAUAAAAUGUCUCGAAAUUUAAUAGUCCUGAAAUUCUAAAAUCUAAACCAACACUUUUGUAUAUAAGUUUAAUAGAUGCCAAUCAAAGUAUGGCGAGUUUGUUUACCAAAACCACUGCAAGAUAUUUACAGACUACAAGUUCAUAAGCAAUCAAGCAGUAUUGUAUUUAAAUUAUGUAUAAGUAAGUAAAUAUUUUAUACAAACAUAUUUAAAUAUUAUAUAUAAAUAAAUAAAUAUAUUAUGCGGUUCGGCUCGGUUUCUAUUCGGUUUUGAAAUUCUUGAAACCAAAACCAAAACCAAAAGAUUGGUGCGGUUUUUUUUAUGUUUGGUUUUCGCGCGGUACAGUUUUAUUCGAUACGGUUUGAUACGGUUUUAUGUGCUUUUCGUGAUUUUCGGUUUAGUUCGAUUUUCGGUUCAGCUUUUGCUCCUUCUUACCUAGCACUAAACCUGACAAUUCGUUCUUAUUGUGUAAUUUCGUGUCGUGUACUUUUUCGUGUCAUGUACCUCCGUUCUCGUGUCGUGUUUCGUGUAAAAUCAAAUAUAAAUAUAAAUAUAAAUAAAUAUAAUAAAUUAAUGUAAAUAUUAGAUUUCUAGGUAAUUUUUUUACAAAAUUAUAUAAAAAAUAUAUAUAUUUAAAUCAUUUAUACUUACAAUACUAUAAACUAUGCAAUAUUUUAAAAAAAUACAUAUAUUUAUUAUAAAUAAACAUAUUUAUUAUUACAUAUUAAUAUUUAAUUAUAAAAUUAUAUUUAUUUUAAAUCAUUUAUUUCGUGUACCCAAAGAUAAACACAAAACCGAACGACAUCUCAGUCGUGUACUUCGUGUUGUAUACUCAAAAUGCAAACACAAAUACUAAAUUUUCCUGUCGUUUUCAUAUACUGUUUUCGUGUCGUAUGAAAAAUUGUAGGUCUCUUAUAAAACAUACUCCCUCUGUCCCAACCAUUUGUUUGUAUACAAAUGGUUAGGACACGGAGACCUAGAAAUUGUAUAAGAAAUGAGUAAAUUUAGAUGAAAAGUGGGGGUAGUGGUGAGACCUAUUUAUAUUUAAUAAUCGAUUUGAGAUAGUGAAAGAAAGUAGUGGAUGUAAUAGUAUUUAUAUUAUUAUAGAAUGAAGAUAGUGGAACAAAAUAGUUGGUGUAAUGAUAUAUUAUAUCAUAAAAGUUUACUAUUUUUGAAAUGUAUAAAAAUUUACUAAAUGUAUACAAUGUGAGACGUUUCAAAAAGAAACUGUAUAUAAUUCAUCGGGACGGAAGGAGUACAACCGCAUAGCGUUCCAGGUGAUCAGUUCAACGAGAACUCUUGCUUUUGAUUGGAGAUUUGGAUUGCAUGGAUAAUCCCCCAACUUAUUCGAUAAAUUUAGUGCGUGUACUAUAAACUCUUUGUUUCAGAAAUCAUUCUGUCCCAGUGGCCCUAUUUCCGUACUUCUGGAAAAGAUAUUGGACGUAGCUUUCCGCUUUUUAUCGCGAGGAUGAAAUUCGUUCGAGGUUUCACUCGGAGACAUGUGCUGAUGCUAACUCCCACUCAGAACUUGUUUAACUAACUUAUACUUCUUCCAUCAUUUUUUAGUGGUUCAUUUUAAAAAAAAAUACAUAUAUUAAAGAGUAUUAAAUUAUAAAAUUUGUUUUAACAUUUGCCCAUAUUUAUUGCAUAAAUUAAUGGGAGUAAUUGUACUGUUAAACAUUAAAACUUGGAAGUGAUAGACGUAAAAUAAUGGGAGUAAUUGUACUGUCACAAAAAGUGCUGGACAAAAAAGUGAUAGACGUAAAAUUUAGAUAGUUGUUUGAUAAUAUUUUUUUUUAUUUAUAUAUUUUGAAUUAUAAUAUAAAAAUGAUAAUAUUUUUGAAGAAGUUUAAUAAUGAAAUCUAUGACAGCUUCUAACAAAAGCUGAAAAACAGUUUUUUUGCAAAAACAUGGGAGUACAUGCUUUUUCUAAAAUCAACUUUUGAGUUAAAAAAUGUUGUUCAGAAAAGUUGCUUUUAAAUUUACUAAACAGUUUUUCCACAUACUUUUGAGCAGAAAACUGUUGUUGCUGUCUGCAACCGCAAUGACAAACAAUAUGUUAAUAUGAUUUAUGAUUUAAUAUGAUUUAAAGCGAUAAGUUAGGAAUUUAAAUUGUUUGUUCAGAUAAUUUUAACUUAUUAGUGAAUUAUGAAUUAUUAAAAAAAUAAUAAUAAAAAAUAAUAAUUUGUUGGUAAAUUAUAUCUUCUAUAAAAAAAUGUUUAGAAAAAUUAAACACUGAAAAAAUUAACUCAAAUUGACUUCUGUCUUUGAAUCAAUUUAUGACUUAUUUCUAAAUUUUAAACCGACUUCUAAAUUUUUAGACAAACAAAUAUUUUUUUAAUUUAAGCUCAAAAAUGACUUAAAAUCCGGGCUCUUGUACCGACGAACACCUCCUAAUUUACUCAAGUCUAUCGGAGAAAAAUCCAAAUUCGGGUCGUUAUCAGAGGGUUGUCCAAUUGUAAUUCAAGAGUACUUGACUAAUCUAUCUAUACUAUACUAUAAUAAGCCAACAUGGAUAUAAUUUGUAGUCGUACAAAUUUUUGGUUUGGUCAAUUUUUUUUGUUUAGUACUCUCUUUAUAUAACUAGAAGUCUACGACAUAUAUAGGUCUAUUACUCUUCUUUUAUUAAACAAUUUCAAAUACUAAAAGCACUCAUCAUGUAUUACAUGACAAAAACUUUAUCAUUAUCCUCUUAAAUAUAAAUAUAAUUAGUUGAAAAAAAAUAAAACUACUAUUAAUAACAUAUAUUAAUACUAAAAUACUUAUAAGUAGAUGUUGCAAUUCAUUAAUACUAAAAUACUAAGAUAAUUUUAUAAUUUAAAUUAUAAAUAAUAAAUUAUGAAUUAUAUACUCGCCCGUGCUUCGCACGGGUUAAAAGCUAUACUAUACUAUAAUAAGCCAACAUGGAUAUAAUUUGUCGUCGUAUAAAAUUUUGGUUUGAUCAUGUUGAUUUGGUGAUUCACUUUAUAACUAAAAAUCUGCUACACGUAGAGUUCUCAUAAUCUUACAUCUCUAAACAGUUUGAUAUACUACAAGAUAAAAACUCCACCAUUAUUCUUUUGAAUAUAAUUUAUAAUUAGUUAAAAAAUAAAAAAGCUAAAUUUACUAUCAUUAAUAUAUAUUACUAUUAUAUAAUAAUUAAUGAUUAGUUUAAAAUUAUAUAGACGCCCGUGCUUUGCACGGGUUUAAGGCUAGUACUAUACUAUAAUAAGUCAACAUAGGGUAUAAUUUGUAGUCGUACAAAUUUUUGGUUUGGUCACAUUGAUUUGGUGAUUCACUUUCUACCUAAAAGUCUGUUGCACGCAGAGUUCUCAUAGUCUUACAUAUCUAAACAGUUUGAUAUACUACAAGAUAAAAACUCCAAUUUUAUUCUUUUAAAUAUAAUUUAUAAUUAGUUAAUACUAAUCACUAAUAAAAUGAUAUUAAAAUUAAAAUUAUAUAUAAUAAAUUCAAAAUAAUAUAGCCUCCCGUGCUUUGCACGGGUUCAAGGCUAGUUUAUGUUAUACAGUAACUGCUCCUCUUUUUAUAGUAUGAAGCAGAAGUUUUUGAGUUUGAUUGUUGGAGUAUUAUAUGUUGAAGUUCUCACGUUCUCUGUCAGAUUGUUUGGUAGAGACCAUUUUGAGGGAUUCUUCUGAUUAAUGAAAAUUCUUUCUUAUUUCAAAAAAUAAAUAAAUAAAUAAAAAAUGCAGAUACAUGAUUAAAAGUUUUACUUGCUUUCAAAAAAAAAAAAGUUUUACUUGAAAUUCAUAUUUUUCUUCUCACUUCAAAUUAUCCGAAGUAAAUAUAUGGUUUUUUUUUUUUUGACAUAUUUUACCUCGAUUAUGAUAGGCACUUCUUUCUGCAAAUCAACCUAACAAAUUGAUACAUGUCAUGUAUCUUUAACACAUAAUACACUUCUUCAAGUGUUUUAACUUUUUCUUAACACACUUCUUCAACUAUUUUAAUUUGAUAAUUGAAAUUAUUAUUUCAAACCAUUUUCCAAAUAAAAAAUUUAGCUCACACAAAAAUAUCAAAAAAUAAAUGAUUAGACUAUGCGAUCAAAGUAUCUAAAUUUACAUGGAAAAAAAUCAAAAGAUCAAUAAAAAAAUAGAAUAUUUCUCAAAACAAUUGCAAUUUUAGUUUUUGAUUUAUGACACAUUUCUUUAACCUUUUUAACUUGAUAAACUUAGUUCACACAAAAAAUCAUAAAUAAAUAAUUUUAUUAUGCAGUCAAAGUAUUUAAAUUUAUAUGUAAAAAAUCAAAACGUCAACUAAAAAAAUAUUGAAUAUUUCUCAAGAAAAUUGCAAUUUUGUUUUUCGAUAAGCUGGACUUUUUUUUAAUCAUUGCGCCCUUCAAAUAUUUUAAAUAAAGUUUUAUAAAUGUAUUGUAAUUUCUAUGAAUUAAUUAUCAAAAUAUAUUUAUCAAACCAUUUAGAUUCUGUUCCAUGGGUAGCAUAUAGGUUUAACAAGUUUAUAUACAUUUUGGCUUGCGAAUCGCAUUAAAAAUGAUUUGUGUAAUGAUUUUUUUUUCUAAAGUCGAUUUUAAAUGACCCUAUUCUAGGAGUAUAUCAUGAUUCACAUGUCAAUUCUAAAGAAAUUCACGAUUUUAUUUCCGUUUGACCAAUUAGAAUUAUGUUUUAAACAUGUUUGUCAAGUUUUCUUUAAUCAUUUUGUCCUUGAAAAAGAUCUAAAUAAAGUUGAGGAAUAUUUCUUUAAUCAUUAUGCUCAGUGUUGUAAAAAGCGGAAAUCGGACUUAAUCGGUGAAGUCACGGAACAAAGAUUAAUAGGUGAUUAAUUAAAUUGAUCGGAGAUUAAUCGAAUUAAUCAAUGAUUAAUCAGAGAUUUAAUCAGUUCGGCGUGUUACAGAACAGAAAUUAAUCAGUGACUAAUCGUGAUUAAUCACCAACUUUUAGAAUAGGGAUUAUGCCCUUCGUAUCCUUUCAUUUGUUAUCAAAAUACUACUCCCUCCAUUCCAAAAUAAUAGUCGCUUUGACUUUAUGCACGCAAUUUGAAAUAUAAGAAAAUCUUACUUUUACACAUUAUUUUUCAAAUUUUCUUUUUCUGAAUAAAAGUUUAACAUCUAUAUUUUUAUUCAGAAAAAGAAAAUUUGAAAAAUAAUAUGUAGGAUUGAGGUUUUUUACACCUCAAAUUACGUACACAAAGUCGCGACUAUUAUUUUGGAAUGGAGGGAAUAUACGGUAUCUGUGAAACUCAUUCUCACCAACUGUUCUGUUCGAAGACUAGCAGGUAGGUUUGACAAGUUUAAACGUUUGAUACACAACCAAUUAAACUAUAACAAAUCAAUUUGUCUUCUCUGUCCUAGAUCAGAUCAGAUUGAUUUGUUGAAAGUUGACUCAAAAUUUAAAGAAGUAUUAAUCACAAAGUUAAUUAAUUCAUUGUAUUUAAUUAAAUUCAUAUUAAAAAUAGAGAAAUUUGUCUUGAAUAUAUAAUUGAACAAUUCCAUUAAUACCAGACUCACCGGAAAAAUUACAAAUUAUCUAAAAAAAUUUGUCUCAAUAUCUAAUUAAAUGUGUGAUGAUAAUAUCUCACUUAAUUCACUGUUCACGUGAAUAGUGAAGGUAUGUGUUCUCUGCAAAUUGUAUACGUUCAUUAUUUACACGCAUUUUGAAACUACUGUAAAGUAUUGUUUAAUGAAUUUUUUUAAAUUUUCAUUUUUUGAAUAAAAGUUUAAAUAUUAAAUUUUUAUUCAGAAAAAAAUAAUUGAAAAAAUAUAUUGUGGAGCUAUAUUUUAAAAGAAUCUUAAAAAAUGUGUCAAAAAAUAAUGUAUAUAAUUGAAUGAGACGGAGGGAGUAAGUAGCUAGCAUUAAUUGUGUAGCUUAGCAUUUACUUCUAAAAAUAUACGAAAAUUGUAUUUAAAAAAUAAUUUGUUUCAAAUAUAAUAAAAGUUAGAGGAUAAAGUGAUCAGGUCCGUAUGGACGGAGUACAUUUGUUUAUUUCGAUGGAACAUGCAACUUUCACAUCGUGUUAAUGUUCGAAGUUAACCUUUCUCUAACCUCCAGAAUACGUCCAUAUCUUUUAUACUCCCUCCGUCUUAUUUUAUUUUCAUAGAAAAUAAAAAAAAAUAAUGUUUAUUUAAUAAAAACAAAUUAUAAAAUAGAAAAAUAGUAAAUAUAUAAGUAGUAUGAUACUCUCGAGAUUUUGAUGAUCACACUAACAGCAACUUGAUAACAUAAAACUGUACUCUGGUAGCUAGCUGAGAACGAGAUUAUAACUGUGCUAACAGCUAAUGUCUUUUGAAGUUAUCAUUGUUCAGUCAGCAAGCUUACAGGAAUAUUGACAGACUAUCAGCAAGCUCACAGCGUANNNNNNNNNNNNNNNNNNNNNNNNNNNNNNNNNNNNNNNNNNNNNNNNNNNNNNNNNNNNNNNNNNNNNNNNNNNNNNNNNNNNNNNNNNNNNNNNNNNNNNNNNNNNNNNNNNNNNNNNNNNNNNNNNNNNNNNNNNNNNNNNNNNNNNNNNNNNNNNNNNNNNNNNNNNNNNNNNNNNNNNNNNNNNNNNNNNNNNNNNNNNNNNNNNNNNNNNNNNNNNNNNNNNNNNNNNNNNNNNNNNNNNNNNNNNNNNNNNNNNNNNNNNNNNNNNNNNNNNNNNNNNNNNNNNNNNNNNNNNNNNNNNNNNNNNNNNNNNNNNNNNNNNNNNNNNNNNNNNNNNNNNNNNNNNNNNNNNNNNNNNNNUUGUAAUUGUUAACAUUCUUGAUUAAUAAUAUAAUCUUUUACCAGUUGGUAGGGGACCAGGACGUAGACCAUUAGGGUUAGGGGUCGAACCUGGCUAAAAUUCUUGGUGUUGCUAGCAUACUGCUUUACAUUAUCUGCAUUGCAUUUAUCUUAUUAGCAGGCUAACUGUUUACUCUGAAAAUUAACAGCAGGCUGUCUUUGACAGAUUAAUUAUUCGGUAACUUAUAAAAUCGGGUAUAUUAGCCAUAACACCUAUUCACCCCCCUCUAGGUGUGUAAUUUCAAUUGGUAUCAGAGCCAGGUUUGUACUAAUACUUCUGUAACAGGAAUAGUAUCGAUCGAUAUGGCUGAUAACUUUCAGGGAAAGUCCGAUUUUAGAGCUCCUCUCCUCACGGGUUCUGACAACUACAAUUGGUGGAAAGGCCAAAUGGAGGCUCAUCUGUCCAGAGAUCCCCUAAUGCAAAUAGUGGUGCAAAGAGGUCCUUAUGAAUAUCUUGAUAAAGAUGGCAAAGUCAAGGACGUUGAUGUUCUCACAGCGGACGAGCUAUCAAAGGUUGCUGCCAAUGGAAAAGCAAGGAGUACAUUAAUCAAUGGGCUGAAUCAAGCCGAAUAUGACAAGGUCUCUUCUCUCAAAUCUGCAAAAGAAAUUUGGGAUGCAUUGGAGACAUAUCACGAAGGCUCAAAGGCGUUAAAGAAAGUCAAGCUCGGGAAGCUUAUGAAAGAAUUUGGAAGCUUUGCUAUCAAGAAGGGAGAAUCCAUUCGAGAAAGCCAAGCUAGAUUCCAAGUCACUCUCAACAGUCUUGAAAGACUUGGCAAAAAGAUUCCUCAAUCGGAAAUCAACAUGAAUAUUCUAAAUGCUGUUCCAUUCGAAUAUGGUGCCAAGGUUCUUGCACUGCACUCCUCUANNNNNNNNNNNNNNNNNNNNNNNNNNNNNNNNNNNNNNNNNNNNNNNNNNNNNNNNNNNNNNNNNNNNNNNNNNNNNNNNNNNNNNNNNNNNNNNNNNNNNNNNNNNNNNNNNNNNNNNNNNNNNNNNNNNNNNNNNNNNNNNNNNNNNNNNNNNNNNNNNNNNNNNNNNNNNNNNNNNNNNNNNNNNNNNNNNNNNNNNNNNNNNNNNNNNNNNNNNNNNNNNNNNNNNNNNNNNNNNNNNNNNNNNNNNNNNNNNNNNNNNNNNNNNNNNNNNNNNNNNNNNNNNNNNNNNNNNNNNNNNNNNNNNNNNNNNNNNNNNNNNNNNNNNNNNNNNNNNNNNNNNNNNNNNNNNNNNNNNNNNNNNNNNNNNNNNNNNNNNNNNNNNNNNNNNNNNNNNNNNNNNNNNNNNNNNNNNNNNNNNNNNNNNNNNNNNNNNNNNNNNNNNNNNNNNNNNNNNNNNNNNNNNNNNNNNNNNNNNNNNNNNNNNNNNNNNNNNNNNNNNNNNNNNNNNNNNNNNNNNNNNNNNNNNNNNNNNNNNNNNNNNNNNNNNNNNNNNNNNNNNNNNNNNNNNNNNNNNNNNNNNNNNNNNNNNNNNNNNNNNNNNNNNNNNNNNNNNNNNNNNNNNNNNNNNNNNNNNNNNNNNNNNNNNNNNNNNNNNNNNNNNNNNNNNNNNNNNNNNNNNNNNNNNNNNNNNNNNNNNNNNNNNNNNNNNNNNNNNNNNNNNNNNNNNNNNNNNNNNNNNNNNNNNNNNNNNNNNNNNNNNNNNNNNNNNNNNNNNNNNNNNNNNNNNNNNNNNNNNNNNNNNNNNNNNNNNNNNNNNNNNNNNNNNNNNNNNNNNNNNNNNNNNNNNNNNNNNNNNNNNNNNNNNNNNNNNNNNNNNNNNNNNNNNNNNNNNNNNNNNNNNNNNNNNNNNNNNNNNNNNNNNNNNNNNNNNNNNNNNNNNNNNNNNNNNNNNNNNNNNNNNNNNNNNNNNNNNNNNNNNNNNNNNNNNNNNNNNNNNNNNNNNNNNNNNNNNNNNNNNNNNNNNNNNNNNNNNNNNNNNNNNNNNNNNNNNNNUGUGUGCCUUGGCGGUCUCAGGUUCUAUAUGUUUUAUCAACUAACACUGCUGGACCCAACAAAAUUUGGGUACCAAAACGUUGAGUGUUUUGUGUUUGUUUUGUAGGUUUGUCUCGUGUCUAAAGUAAAGCCAAAUCAAUGGAUAUUGGAUAGUGGAUGCACUAGGCACAUGAGUGGAGACAAAUCACAGUUUCUAAGCUUGAAGAUGAAGAAGGGUGGACGUGUCACAAUUGGUGAUAGCAAAACUCUUCCUAUUCUUGGCAAAGGAACUAUAGGUAAUAGUAUCAUUUCUAUCAACAAGGUACAAUAUGUUAAAGGUCUUACUUAUAACUUGCUUAGUAUAAGUCAGUUAUUUGAUGAUGGUCAUAUUGUUAACUUUGGUAAGGAUGAAUGUACUAUACUUGUUGGUGCUAACAAAACUCCUCUAGUUGCAAAACGAGAAGGAAAUAUAUAUGUUUUGAACUUUGAAGAACAGGAGGCAGGUGUUUGUUUAGCAGCUGUGGAUAAUAAUCUAGAAAUUUGGCAUAGAAGGCUUGGACAUGCUCAUAUGGAUCAUCUCAGCAAGCUGUCAGCAAAGAAGCUUGUUCGAGGACUACCAAAGCUUAAGUAUGUCAAGAUGGAGACAUGUUCUGCUUGUCAAUUGGGAAAGCAAACAAGGACUCCACAUAAGGCAAAGAAAAUGGUAAUCUACUUCUAAAACCUUUAGAGCUUCUUCACUUGGAUCUCUUUGGUCCCGAAGCUUAUAAGAGUAUCGGAGGUAAACAAUAUGCCUUUGUUAUUGUUGAUGAUUAUUCUAGAUUCACUUGGGUAUUAUUCUUGCGUACUAAAGAUUGUGCUUUUAGUGAAUUUGAGAAACUAAUCAAGUUGCUUGAGAACAAACUAGAUACAAGACUUGUAGGUAUUCGAAGUGAUCAUGGUGGGGAAUUCCAAAAAGACUUCAUUACUUAUUGUGAAGAAAGAGGAAUCUCACAUGAGUUCUCAGCACCUCGUACACCUCAGCAAAAUGGAGUUGUAGAGCGUAAGAACAGGUCCUUACAAGAAACAGCUAGGACAUUGCUGCAGGAGAGCAAGCUGCCAAGAAGCUUUUGGGCAGAAGCUGUCAACACAGCAAGCUAUGUUCUUAACAGAGUGCUUAUCAGGCCAAUUCUCAACAAGACUCCUUAUGAAUUGCUAAGGAAAAAGAAGCCUAACAUCAGCUACUUCAAGGUUUUUGGAUCUAAGUGCUUCGUACUCAAAACCAUUGAUAGGGAUGGUAAAUUCGACUCUAAAUCUUAUGAAGCUAUAUUUUUGGGUUAUUCUUUAACAAGUCGUGCUUAUAGAGUGUAUAAUCUUGCUAAACAUACUGUUGAAGAGUCUAUUGAUGUUUCAUUUCAAGAGUCUACUGAUGAUCUUGCAAGGGAUGAGGAAGAAUGUGCAGGUACAGGUACUAGCAGCAAGCUGACAGUGAAGGAAACUGGAAAUCAGCAAGCUGACAAGUCAACUGCCACAACUUCAGAAGGCAAUAAAGCUACUGAAUCCACUCCAUCUCUUGAAGAAACUUUGGAUAAGAUGUCAAAGCUUUCAUUGGAUGAAUCCAGAGGUCAAACUUCAUCAGCAAGCCAAAAUGUUGUUGAUCAGACUCCUCCUAGGCAGACUACAAGGAAUGAAGAGGUCAUAGCUCAACAUAAUCUACCAAAGUCAACUAGAACAGUGAAGAAUCAUCCUCCUCAGUUGAUCAUUGGAGAUAAAUCAGCUGGAAUCAAGACAAGGAAAGCUCAAGCCAACAUUUGUGCUUAUGCUGCCUUGCAUGCAUAGUGAGUUUGACAUGAGCAUGAUGGGAGAGCUCAAUUAUUUCUUGGGGCUCCAAAUUAAGCAAACUCCAGAAGGAAUUUAUGUGCAUCAAUCCAAGUAUAUCAAGAAUCUACUCAAAAGAUUUGGAUAUGAGAAUAUCAAGGCGAAAUCAACACCAAUGAGCGUUGUCAGCAAGCUGACAGCAGAUGAAAAUGGUAAAGAUGUUGAUAUUCGAAUGUAUAGAGGUAUGAUUGGUAGUUUACUUUAUCUUAUAGCCUCUAGACCUGAUAUUAUGUAUAGUGUUUGUGUUUGUGCUAGAUUUCAAGCAAAACCAAAGGAUUCUCACUUACAAGCUGUUAAAAGAAUAUUUAAAUAUUUAAGUGGAACCAUUACUUUGGGCUUAUUCUAUCCUAUCACAAAUGCUUUUGAUCUUGUUGGGUAUAGUGAUGCAGAUUAUGCAGGUAGUCAAACUGAUAGAAAAAGUACAAGUGGUGUUUGUGCAUUUUUGGGUCAAAGCUUAGUUUCUUGGUUAAGCAAGAAGCAAACUUCAGUUGCUCUAUCUACGGCUGAGGGGGAGUAUUUAGCAGCUGGUAGCUGUUGCUCUCAAAUGCUAUGGAUGAGACAACAAUUGAAGGACUUUGGAAUCAAAUGCAAGCAAACUCCUAUCUUUUGUGACAACACAAGUACAAUCAACAUUUCAGAAAAUCCAGUCAAUCAUUCAAGGACAAAGCAUAUUGAUGUUCGACAUCAUUUUCUGAGAGACAAUGUUGCAAAGGGUGCUGUCAAGUUGAUUUUUGUGGCUACAGCAGAUCAGCUAGCUGACAUUUUCACAAAACCUCUUCCUGAAGAACGAUAUAUCGUGCUGAGAAGGGAAUUGGGUAUGUGUGAUGUGCAGUCAGCAAGCUAAUAAGCUUGGUCCGGGUACUCUCAGUUAUUAUGACCAUUAUGUGCUGAUUUUCUACCCUUUUGAUGAUUAAGGGGGAGAAAAUUUAGGAACCUGGUUUGUGUUGUGAAUGUUAUAUCUGUUGUAUAGUUUAAUGUUAUAAGAUUGCUAUAUUCAGGGGGAGUAUUAUUACUUUUCCUAAAUAUAGUGUAAUCAUCAAAAAGGGGGAGAUUGAUACUCUCGAGAUUUUGAUGAUCACACUAACAGCAACUUGAUAACAUAAAACUGUACUCUGGUAGCUAGCUGAGAACGAGAUUAUAACUGUGCUAACAGCUAAUGUCUUUUGAAGUUAUCAUUGUUCUGUCAGCAAGCUUACAGGAAUAUUGACAGACUAUCAGCAAGCUCACAGCGUACUGACAGGAUGCUUAUCGGAUAAAGAUCAAGUCCUAUUUUCAAGGAGAUUUAAUAGGGAACGUUUUGUGAGGACUCUAAUACAUAUAUAUACAGUAUAUAAAUAUUAGAGCUCAUCUUUUAUCAAAGAGUUUUAUUCAAAAUCGUUUUCCUAAAAUAUAGGAGUUGAUUUCAAACCUUGUUUAUCCUUUUAGACUCCUACUUCUAUUCAAACUGUUUUGUUUUAUAAACAAACGUUUACUGAGUUGUUUCAAACGUCUUUAUGCUUUUACUCAGUAAAAAUACAUUGUUCAAACGUUCAUUAUUCAAGCAAAUUAAACGUGAGGUUGUUGGGCCAAGAACGUUGGAUAGUUUGUUGAGUUAUGACCGUUUGGAAUGAUGGUAUAUAAACUUGAGUGUGGUUUCCGUUUUGGUAGAGAACAAGAACACACUUCAAGCUUCUGAAAUACAACACACUUACAUUGCAAAAUCUUUACUUGAGCUCUAGUACUUAUAUUUGAUUAUAUAUCUAUAUUGAGUUCAUAGUUUCGGUUGUAUUACACUCAUACAUUGUAUUGUUCAAAGUGUAAAGGUUUGUUGCUGUGUAUCGAGCUUGUGAAACAAGGGAACAAGGGGACUAGUUAGCUAGAAGAGUAUACUUGGGAAGUAUAGGUCUUGGAGAGCUUUUGGUUCGUGGUUCAGGGGUUUCAGCAAGCUGAUAACAGGAACAAGGGAUAAAGGGAGUUAUAUUAUUGAAUCAUUGUAAUCGUUAACAUUAUUGAUUAAUAAUAUAAUCUCUUACCAGUUGGUAGGGGACCAGGACGUAGACCAUUAGGGUUAGGGGUCGAACCUGGCUAAAAUUCUCUGUGUUGCUAGCUUACUGAUUAUAUCUGUUUUGCAUUGCAUCUGCAUUGUUAGCUAGCUGACUGUUUACUCUGAAAUUAACAGCAAGCUGUCAGUGACAGUAUAAAUAUUCGGUAACAUUAAAAAUCGGUCAUAUUAGCCAUAACACCUAUUCACCCCCCCUCUAGGUGUGUAAUUUCAUAGUAUUCAUAAAUAAUAUAUAUAAUAGAUUCAAUUUUUUUGAAAUACACAAAAAAAUAAAGGUCAUAUAAAAUAAGACGAACGGAGUAUUACUAUUUCAACAAGUUCAAUUAUAAAAAAUAGCCGAGACAAACACUCCUUCAUAUUUGUUUGUUUGAUUUCAAGCAAAACCCACAAGCAGUUGACUCGUAAGUCUUGAUCUUCGAAAAUAUGUCGAAUGCUAUGAAAUCUCGAGAUCUUGUUCAUAUCUUACUAGUCUCUAUCCCUGCUCAAGGCCAUGUCAACCCUCUACUCAGACUCGGCAACCUCCUUGCCUCCACAGGCCUCCUCGUCACCUUCUCGGCCCCCGAAAGUAUCGGAAGCUCUAUGAGAAAAGCUAACAAGAACAUCGACGACCUCACUCAGGUCGGUGAAGGCAUGAUCCGGUUCGAGUUCUUCGAUGACGGAUUAGGCCAACACGAUGAUCCGAGACGCAAUGAUCUCGACACCUAUAUUCGGCAUCUUGAGUUGCACGGAAAAGAGGCCGUUACUAGAUUUGUGGAAAAACAUAACAAACAAGGCCAGCCCGUGGCGUGCCUCAUCAACAAUCCGUUCAUUCCAUGGGUCACUGAUAUUGCUCAUGACCUCAAAAUCCCGAACGCGGUGCUUUGGGUACAAUCUUGCGCUUGUUUAUCCGCUUAUUAUCAUUACUAUAACAAAUUGGCCAUAUUUCCGGAUGAGACUAAUCCGGAGAUUGAUGUCCAAUUGCCAUCCAUGCCUUUGCUGAAACACGACGAGGUCCCUAGCUUCUUGCACCCUCAUAGUCCUUACACUGUUUUAGGAAGAGCAAUCUUAGGCCAGUUCAAGAAUUUGUCGAAAACGUUUUGUGUGCUCAUAGAAACAUUUGAAGAACUCGAAAGUGAGCUCGUUGAUUACAUGUCAAAAUUCUGCCUCAUCAAACCUAUUGGUCCAUUAUUCAAGAAUCCUAAAUCUUCGAACUCUAGCAUCCAAGGCGAUUUCAUAAAAGCCGACGAUUGCCUCAGUUUCUUGGACUCCAAGGAACCCGCGUCAGUUGUGUACAUAUCAUUCGGCAGUGUUGUUGCUCUAAGUCAAGAACAAGCCGAGGAAAUUGCUUUCGGGCUUCUGAAUUCGGGUGUUUCGUUUUUGUGGGUUUUAAGGCCGCCUCACCCGAAUUUCGACCCUGUAAUUCUCCCCGAAACUUUUUUGGAAAAAAUUGGCGAACGUGGAAAAAUUGUGCAAUGGUGCGCGCAAAAAGAAGUCCUCCAACACCCAUCCGUGGCCUAUUUUGUAACGCAUUGCGGAUGGAACUCGACGUUGGAGGCGAUUACUAGCGGCGUCCCGGUGGUGGCCUUUCCAGCAUGGGGUGAUCAAGUGACGAAUGCAAAGUACUUGGUUGAAGUGUUACACUUGGGAGUUAGACUAAGUAGAGGUGACCAAACUGAAAAAGUUGCGAUUUCGAGGGACCGAAUUGAAAAUUGCUUGAAAGAGGCUUUUGGACCUAAGGCAGCUGAGCUGAAAAAAAAUGCACUCAAGUGGAAGCAAGUGGCGGAGGAAGGGGUGGCUGAGGGUGGCUCAUCAGAUCGGAAUUUGAAAGACUUUGUGGACAAAAUUAGAGACGUAUCAAAGUUGGGUGGGGUUGAUGUGAACCCCCUUGUUGUGAAUGAAAAAUCCCGCACGUAACUAUCUUUAAUUUUUAUAAAUAAGUCAAAUAUUGUGUUGGUUGAUGAAGUCUUCUUCCAUGUUUUAAUAAUUAACAUGGUAAUUGUUGAUGAAUUAUUCUUCCAAGUUUUAACGAUCAACAUGGUAAUUUUGAGCCGUUACUGGGUUUUAAAUUAUUACUCAUGAUUGAAAAUGACUUAAUGUGAUAUGUGCAGUGUACAUUUUUUGUUGGGAUAGUUUUAUAUUAUAAAUGAUCUACUCCCUCAGUUUCCUUUUACAUGCGCAUUUUGGUUUUCGAAAAAUCAAAUUGACUAAUUUUUGACUAAAUAUUAUAAAUUAUCUAUUCAUUUAUAUAAUCCGAAAGUUGCAUAUUAAAAUAGACAAAAUAUAAUUUCUAAUGAUAUAAUUUUUAUUAUUAUUUUCAAUUAUAUAACAUAUGUAAAUUUCAGUCAAAAUAUAGUCAAUUUAAAUAAUCAAAAAUGAAAAUGGACAUAUAAAAGUGGAUGGAGGGAGUAUAAGUUAUUAAAACAACAUACUAAGAUAUAAAUUUAAGGGAUCAUUUAUUUUAGUAUUAAAGUUGAUUUUUAUUAAAUAAGUCAUAAAACAAAGUGAAUCGAUAAACAAAUAUAUCAUAGUAACUUCUAAUUUUAAAUUAAUUUUUAAUUUAUUUUUAAUUUUAAACGGAGUCUUAACUUACGAUCUGAAGAGUUAUUUGUUAACUUAGAAUCGGACAAGGGCAAGUUCAAUAGGUUACCUAAAUAUGGCACAUUUAGAUAACGUAUCACAAAAAUGAUCGCUAACAGUACCUAAAUCACUAGCACAACUCUAAAUUUACUAGCCAUUAACUAUUUUACAUAACCAUGUAGUCAUUACCUAUUCAAUAUUUAUAAAUAAAAAAUUCAUUUCUCUCUUUCUUUUAUCUCUUUCAUCCCUUUUCCCUUCUUUCCCUCAAAUUUAUUAUUAAAAUAAUAGUAGGGAACAAAAAUAGAGAUUAUUAUUAGAGUUGACACUAAAAUUUGAUUACUUAAAUCACUAUGACUCACUAAGACUCGUUAAUUUAUACUUCCUAUGUCCCUCUCAUUUCUUUACAGUUACUAUUUUGAGAUGUCCCUCUCAUUUCUUUACGUUUAUGUAAAUAGUAAGUUUUUCUUAUUAUUACACCCACUAUCUUCCCCUACUAUCUCAUAUUUAACAAUAAAAACUACUAUUACACCCAUUACUUUCCUCCGCUAUCUCAAAUCUAUUAUUAAAUAUUGAUAGAUCCCAUCAUUUUACCGACUUUUCACUUUAAUCAUUUUUUAUACAUUAUCUUGGUGUCUGUGUCACUCUCCAAUGUAAACAUUGAUGGAGACCGAGGGUGUAUUAUUAAUAAGUAACAGCACAGGUCACAUACUGGACUUGCUCUAACACUAACCCUUCCGUCGAGAAUUGAUGAUAGCGCUUGACCAUAAAUGCACACUUUUUUCGAGAGUAGAGUUAAUGCUUACUGAAUUGAGUUACUCCCUCCGUCCCUUUUUAUAUGUUUUCAUUUGACUUUUGACCAGUCAAAUCGACCAAAUUUUGAUUAAAGAUUACAAAUUAUCUCUUUAUUAUUUUCAAAAUCUGAAAGUUGUAUAUUAAAAUACACUAAAUAUACUUUCUAAUGAUAUAAUUUUUAUUAUUUUUUGAAUUAUAUGAUAUAUGUAAAAUUUCAGUCAAAAUAUAGUCAAUUUGACUAGUCAAAAGUCAAACGGAAACAUAUAAAAGGGGACCGAGGGAGUAUUUAACUAAUCAAAUUAGUUAGUGGAGUAUUUUAUUUAAAAUUAUUUGUUAAAUUAAUGUAUAGUUAAUUUUUCUUUUAACGGUUUUUCUAGUGUGUGCCCAUACGCACAUGCUAAGCACCAAAAUUUAUAAAAUUAGAUGAUUUUAAUUGAUUGCUACUUUCUUUAUAAUAGUGGACCCCUGCAAAUUCACCAACUACACCAAUUAAACUUCACCAUAAUUAUAAAAUUUGGAGUUUAGCACGUGCGCAUUGGCACACACCAGACAAACUCUUCUUUUAAACAGACAUAUGACAGGUUACUCAUUAAACUCUCCAUGCGGCUUAUUCAAAAAUAAUUUCAAAGUAUUCAAAGUCCAUUAGCUCUUAUAUAUAUUAUAAUAAUGUUCUAAAAAUCAGCUAUUAAUCGGGAUUAAUCUCUGUUCGGUUGGUCACCAUCUCGAUUAAGUGUUAAUCGGUGAAAAAAUCAUUUUUCGGAAAAAUCGGUCAAAAGCUGGAUUAAUCGGUCAAAAGAUGGUAAAAUCAGCAAAAAUCGGUAAAUUUAAAAAAAUUAAGUCAUAGUAAAAAGAAAUCUAAAAACUAAAAAUUAAUAUAAAACACAUUGUACCAUUGUCUUAUGAGAUGAAUUGACCUAAAUAUUUAGAAAAUGGAUUUUUGGUGGAUAAAAUCAUUGAUUUUUUCAUUUAUAGAAUUAUAUAAUUAUAAAUCUAUUGUAAAUAAAUAUAAAUAUAUUUAUCUAGUUUAAAAAAUAAUAUUAAAUUGAUUCCGAUUAAUAAUCUAAUUAAUCACUCUAAUUAAUCCCCGAUUAUCCGAUUAAUCGAUAGACGGUUUUUUCGCCAACUAAGUCCGAUUUCCGCUUUUUAUAAUACUGUAUAUUAACGGUAAAUGAUUUAUAUGAGCUAGUAAUAUGAUCCGGAAUCUAUAAUUUUUCUCGACAACUUUCAAGCAUGGUCAAUAAUAUUUUAUGGUUAAUGUUCCUUGUUUUGGAGGCUCGCAGCCUCGCACAAUUUAAUAAAUAAAACGUUUUGGGAGCUUCAAGGCAAGCGACAUGCACUACAAAAAAGAAGCUAUUUUUGACCGUCAAAAUCUGGUAUUUUUGACUGUUAACAAUCGAAAAUAAUUAUUUUCGAUCGGAAAAAAUUGGUCGAAUAUAAAUUAGUCGAAAUUAAAAACCCGGUCAAAAAUAUUUAAUUUCCACCGUUUACGGUCGAAUAUAAUCGCUGGUCGAAAUUUCCGGUCGAAAAUAACCGCUUUUUCUUGUAGUGGGGCUCACACGUUCUUACAAAUUCAGGCCGGCUUAAAUAGUUCUUAAGCAUUGGGGUAUGGAUAUUCAGUCGGAAAUUUUUGAAAAAAUUUAUUUAUGAAAUUUGAUUAUAUUUAAUUAAAAUUUUAAAAAUUUAUCAAAAUUUUGAGAUAUAUAAUUAGAAUUUAAAUAUAUAUUCUAUAAAAUCUGAUGAUAGUCGAUUAGUAUUUUAAAUUAUGUUUAAAAAUCAAUGAUAUUCAAUUGAGAUUAUUUAACAUCCAUUUGAAUACGGUGGCAUUCAAAUGUCGAUGGAUAUUUUUGAAUUUAAUAAAGAUUUUUGUGAAUUGUUCAUUAUAAUAUAUGUUUUUUGAAAUCAUACAAAAAUUUAUGCGAUUUUGAAGUUUUUGCUUAUAUCCUAAAGGAUAUAUAUACAUUCCGUGACAUUUUAUCUAAGACAUGCAUAAAAUCAAAAGGCUUAUUUCUCCAUAUGCCAUCCAAGUUUGCUCUAAUAUUCACGCUGACCCUUAAAGUUUAAAAAUGAACGGUCCGGCCCUUCAAAUAUUGUUAAUGUUGAACUUAGCCAUAGUGAUUGAAAAGUGAAUGGCACGCUCUCCGGCUGAGAGUGACCGACUCUGCUCUAGUCUUUGGCUCUUCCUUUCACCACUUCCUUUCAAGCAUACUGUAGUAUAUGUAUGUAUAUAGGCUACCAUCCAAAUGUGUAUCAAGUCUUGCGAAUUAUAUCUUUUUUUAAACGCAGAUAUGUUAUUAGUUUAUACAGCGGUGACUUAUAAUGUUUUUUAUUUAUUAAUUUGUUAUAUUUUAAUAUUUAGUUUUAUUAUGAAAAAUUAUACUAGAAUCAUAUACAUUUUUAAUCAAAAAGAAUUUUAAAUAAUAAAUGAAUGUGUUUGGGUUAAUAUAAAUUUAUUGGGAGUUUUAGAUAAAUAUUUUUUAUUUAAGAUUUUGAAUAAUUUCUUAAUACUCCCUCCGUCCGCCUUUUACAUAUUCCUUUUUUAAAAAAUUGUUUUAAAAUACAUGUCUCGUUUAUCUUUUCAAAGCAUUUUUUUGAAUGCUUUUUCAAAAAAUAUCCUUUGAAUACGAGUUUUCAUGUUUGAUUACCACGCAUAUAUGCAUAAAUUAAUUUUAUUAAUUUAUAUGAUGUACAAAUAUUUUUUUAAAAUAUAUAUAUUUCCAACAAUAUAUUAGAGCUUAGCUCUUUCUAGAGAUUCUUGGCCAGGAAAUAGAAGAGAAGUUUUGGAAGGAAGUGAAUUAAAAGAAAGAAGAAAAGAGGCGGAGAUGGGAGAUUUACAUGGACAAGAUUAAUAAAAAGAGAAGAAAGAUAAGGGUAAUCUAGCUAGUCUCAGCCAAUGUAUCAUUAAUUAGUGUAUUGAUAAGUGAGAAUAUAGUUGAGUUUCAAAAAAAUCACAAUAAAUAUAGGGAUUUAGUACAUUGAGAAAUGAGAACAUAUUUUACUCCUAUUCAAACAUAAAAUGAUAAAUAAUAUUUUUUUUGUUAUGACGUAUUUUACUAGCUAUGUCGCCGUCUUGUAAACAAGUGAACAUAUGCUAAUAAGCAUAUACAAGUAUCUGGUUAGUAUGGAUUUGAGCAAGGGGUGCCAUGCACGAGCGGAGCGAAAACAAUGUAUGGCUAGGCCUGGUUACUUGCAUUUUUUCGCGAUUGUAAUCUACUUGCCCUUGGUUUUUACAUUUCGUCUCAUUCUAUCCGGUUCAUGUAACUUCAAUGGUUAGACCAUCCACUUUUUAACUUUAAGGGUCAACGUGAACAUCAUAGCAAACUUAGAUGGCAGAUAGAGGAAUAAGCCAAAUCAAAAUCAUACCAAUCCAUUAAAAUUCUAUAUUUUACAUAACUUAAGAUUUAAAAAGAAGUAAAUUUAUAUAUAAGUCAUAAAAAAUUUUGUUUUAUUAAUUUGAAUAAAUUUCUUGAAAAAUUAUCAUUUGUCAGAGUGACAAUUAGUAAUAAUAUAAUAAUGUAAUAUUGUAAAAGAGGGGAUUUGUAUCCUCUUGAUCAGAGGUUGGGCUUCCGAAUGGAGAAGAAUUUGUGAUUAUGCCUCCUGGGCUAGAGCAUGUCGCUUAAGUGCGGUUUAUUUUGGUUUGGUUCACGUGGUUUGCAUGCUAUUACAUGAACUCGUGGGUUUACCCCGUGCGCACCCAAAAGAGUAGCGGAUGCGGGUCCCUACAUUAAAAAAUAAAUAAAUCAGAAUGAGUCAUCAAACGACUAAGAUUUGCAAUUUUUACGGAUCUACCUGUAACUAAAGAAAUUAACUGAUAAACUUAUUACACAAACUAAAGAUGCUCCUAAUAAUUGAUUCUAACAUUAUUUUUAUUGCAGAAUUUUAAAUUAAAAUUCAAUAAUAAAGUUUUAAAACAUAAACUUCAAUAUAUAAUUAUUAUGUUUUACUGAAAUAAAAACAUAUAUAAUAAAUAUUAUUAAUUAGGCCAGGGCUAAUAUAAAUUAUUUAAUCAACUAAGAGUAAGUCCAACAGCUGCCCUAUUUAGUGUCCUAAGUCAUAAUAUAGGGCAUUUGAUGAAAAAAUUUGAUCCAACAAUGUCAUAGUUAUGCCCUAUAUCACUAGGACAACCCAUUCAAGCCCUACCCUAUCCCAUAUUUUAUAAUAAAUUAUUACCAACCCGCUCUUUCUCUCUCUAUUUUAUAUUAUGUUUUAAUGAUGAAAGUGAACUUUUAAUAAUAAAAUAUUAAACAUAUAGUGAAAAUAAGGCACAUUGUUGGAGUUGAAGUUAGUAGAAUAUGUUCUAAACUAUUAGGACAUAAUUUUUUAUAUUAUAUUUAAGGCUCCAACUAGGACACUGUUGGACUUGCUCUAAAUAAACAUGAGCAAGAUACUUGCAAAUUGCAAUUCUAUUGAGAAAGUGUAUAUACCAUUGCCGAUUCUUCCUUCACUCUGUAAAAACUGGGCACAAUUUUACCAGUGCAUAAACCAUUGACAAAUUUAUGGGAAGCAUCAGGAACAAUAGAGAGUUUACAACUAAAUGUUAAUGACAAUUAACAUGACUCAACUAAUAGAGAAGAGUAGGUACAAAACCAGAUAGAGCAACAUUUACUAGUCGGCUACAUUGUAAAUCAUGUCUCUUAAUCUGAAAUGAAACUAAGCAGGACUAUAUAUAUCCAUUCAACUACAAUGUUUAAACUACGCCUCCUCAAUACUCCCCCUCAAGCUAAUGAGUUAGAACGAAAUGGAACUCUUAACUUCAAGACAUAAACUGGUGCGAACUAGCCUAUGUUGUAUUAUCCGCCCCUUCAUUAAUCACAAGUUAUAUCAAAUAGUUGGAGUGUACCGUAUUCAUUCAUCAUUGUGACAGGUUCUCCAUAUUAACGCCAAUAGAAGACUAGUUAAAACUCACAUCCCGACUAGAUCUAAUCGUUACUAAAGGACUUGACUUUGUUUGUCAUUAGAGAAUUCCUGGCUAAGCAAUUGUCUUUGGAGGACUGUUUCAAUUUCAUUCAAGUCCUGAUUAUGCUUGCCAUUUAAGGACCCUAGCUUUUCUUGCCAUUAGAGGAAUCCCUGCUUUGCUUGCUAAUAGAGGACUGUGUUAACUACUUAACUUCAUUCAAAUCUUUACUUUGCUUGUCAUUAGAGUAUUGUGGUGAACACAUAUCCUGACUACGCUUGUCACGAGAAGACCAUUGCUCAAAAAGCUCAAAUAAAGUAAACAGCCAAUUUGACGCUAUGCAAGCUCAAUUAUAAAUGCUCAGAGAGCACAAAUAAAUUAAUCAGCCAACUUGACGCUAUGCAAGCUCAACUGUAAAUGUUCACAGAGCUCAAAAUUAUCAGCCAACUUGAUGUUAAUUAGGUAAGCUACUGUAAAUACUUACAGAGCUCAAAAUUAUUAACCAACUUAACGCUAUACAAACUUAACUCUAAAUGCUCACAAAGCAGAAAAUAAGCAUGAGUACUCAGUCACUUCAAUGGAUUGGAGUGACCUCUCAGUUUUAACAACCAAUGAAUGGUGGCUUUAGAAAGUUUACGAAGGAGAAUUCAUUUUAAUAAAACAGUACUUCUUGCGGUCUGCCAAUCCUCCAAUUUUUUCAGCUCGAUCUAUAAUUCAUCUAAGAUAACUAGCUCAUCGAUCUUUAAUUAAUACUCAAACAAAUAUUGAUGAUAAUCAUAUAUCAAAUCACUUUCAAGUUAAGUCAUCUCUUCUCCCUUUGCUUCUAGUAUUAACUCUCUUCUUUGACAAUACUUCGAAGCUUCUACUCUGCCUCUUUUACCCCAAGUUGCUUCACCUUCUCACUGCUCAAAAUAAUUAAUUGUUGAGAACAUGUCUGAUACAGAGUACUUGAGAGCCAUCAACUUCUUUUUAGUGAGAGAGUCUUUUUCCAGAAACUCUAAAGAGAGGAUAUUUAAAGACCUAUGCAGCUAUGCUCCUGAUAUUUAACUAUGUCACUACUAUCGAAUGCUUCAAUUUUGCUGGAGAGUUCUCCAAUCUCAACUAAUGCGCUCUCAACCUCUGCCUGUUGUGCAACCGAGAAAGAAUUCCUUGCUUCGUCUAAUGUAAUCUUCAUUAAUGCCUCAAAAAUAAUCUUCUUAUAUCUUGUAUUUAUGUAAAUUGGUUCAUUAGCUGACAUCAAAAUCCCCCCUGCUAGUUAAUAAUUUUCAUCAUUUUGAUAGAACAGUACGUACUCCCGGAACCCAUUCAGAUCACAAAUUACAAAAUACUACUCCCUCUGUUAGUGUUAGAAUAUAAUAGUGGCGUGACACUAAUAUUUUUAUUCACAAAAAAGAAAUUUGGAAAAUAAUAUGUAUCAGUAUACGGUCAAAACUUUUAAAAGUACGUGAAAAAAAAAGUAAAGCGACUAUUAUAUCUUAUUAACAGAGGGAGAGGGAGUACAUUAUAACAUUCUAAAGCAAUGUUUUAUUUUAAAACACAGAUCAUUGUGUAUUUAUAUGUGCAGUUGAAGUAGCUCAAACUUGAGAAUAUGUGACAGAGCACAAGAUUCCGAAAAAAUUUAUUUCUAAUUUUUUGAUCUACCCUUCAAGAAAGAACCAGGAGGGUUGACGGUUAAGUAAAAAUGCCUAGCUAGCUACAAAUAUUUCAAAACCUUGAUCCUAGAAAACAAGUCAUCAGAUACAAUGAAUACUCAAGAUCUUGUUCAUGUCUUACUGGUCUCUUAUCCUGCUCAAGGCCAUAUUACCCCUUUGCUCAGAUUAGGCAAUCUCCUUGCUUCCACAGGUCUCCUUGUCACCUUCUCAACUACAAAAGAUGCUGGAAGUUCCAUCCGAAAAGCUAGCAAAAACAUCGAUGAGGCCAGUCCAGUUGGUGAUGGUAUGAUCCGGUUCGAGUUCUUCGAUGAUGGACUAGUCCAAAAUAAUGAUGGUCAGGAACGCCCAAGUCUUGACUACAAAGUUGCUCAGGUUGCGUUGCAUGGAACAGAGGCCGUCACGAGAAUUGUCAAAAAACACGAAAGAGAAGGCCGCCCUGUGGCGUGCCUAAUCAACAAUCCUUUCGUUCCAUGGGUUUCGAAUAUUGCUGAGACACUAAACAUUCCAAAUGCAGUGCUUUGGGUGCAAUCUUGCGCUUGUUUUUCAGCUUAUUAUCAUUACUACAACAAACUGGCUAUAUUUCCAACCGAAUCUGACCCCGAAAUUGAUGUCCAAUUGCCUUCCAUGCCUUUACUCAAACAUGAUGAGAUCCCUAGCUUCUUGCACCCUCAAACUCCUUUUCCGGUUUUGAGAGAAGUUAUUUUAGGCCAGUUCAAAAUGUUGCCGAAAACAUUUUGUGUACUGGUAGAAACAUUUCAAGAACUCGAAACUGAAGUCAUUGAAUACAUGUCAAAAUUUUGUCUUCUAAAACCUAUUGGUCCAUUAUUCAAGAACCCUAAAUCUUCGAACUCUAGCAUUCAAGCUGAUUUCAUUAAAGUCGACGACUGCAUGGAUUUCUUGAACUCCAAGGAACAUGCAACAGUUGUUUAUAUAUCGUUUGGUAGCGUUGUUUCUUUAAAUCAAGAACAAACAAAUGAAAUCGCUUAUGGAAUUCUGAAUUCCGGUGUUUCAUUUCUAUGGGUCUUAAAGCAACCUACCAUGCCUGGUUCCGGCCUCAGUGUUGUUUUACCUGAAAAUUUCCUGGAAAAAAUUGGUGACAAGGGCAAAGUUGUGAAUUGGUGCGCACAAAAAGAAGUUCUUCAACAUCCAUCCGUGGCAUGUUUUGUAACACAUUGCGGAUGGAACUCGACGUUGGAGGCGAUUAGUAGUGGCGUCCCGGUGGUGGCCUUUCCGGCGUGGGGUGAUCAAGUGACUAAUGCCAAGUACUUGGUUGAUGUGUUAGAGGUGGGAGUUAGGUUAAGUAGAGGUGACCAAACUGAAAAAGUUGCGAUUUCGAGGGACCGAAUUGAAAAGUGCUUGAAAGAGGCUUUUGGACCCAAGGCAGCUGAGCUGAAAAAGAAUGCACUCAAGUGGAAGCAAGUGGCGGAAGAAGCGGUGGCUGAAGGUGGCUCAUCUGAUCGGAAUUUGAAAGACUUUGUGGACAAAAUUAAGAAUGUACCUCCGUAACAAUUAAUUAAGUGUUCUUAAAUUUUAAGAUAAUGAUAGCAAUUGAUUAAGUCUUUAGGUACACGUUAUGUAUUUUACUCUUAUAUAUAAUUCCAAGACUUGCAGUAAAAGAUCUAAUAUCGUUAUUUAUAUUACAAUAAAUAAAUUAUGAUAUUAAAUUAUAUUAUGAGAGAGAGUAUUUGGACUAUUUAAUAUGAGUACUCACAAGACUAUACACCGCAACAAAACCAGCUUUUUAAAAUGGAUUUCUUACGACGGAAUUGUUUGCUCGCAAAAUUUAUGACGGAAACCAAAAAUCCGUCAAAAUUUCUUAUCAUUACUUAUGACGGAAUCAUUUCGUGUCGUAUUUACUUUUUUCAUGCGCUAGAAUUUUGACACAAACAAAUAUAAUAUAAUAAAAAAAAUUCCUGCGAACGAAAUCGUCGUAAAGUAACUUUUACAUUUACGACGUCAUUUCCGUCGCAAGGUUAUGCAUUUACGACGAACAUUUUCUGUCAUAAGUCAACAAAAAAUUCUCCAUACACGUACCAUCCUAAAUUAAGAAUCUAUUUCUGUCGUAAGUUUUGUGGAGCCCACUCAUAUUUAGCUAUAACGAAAUUAUUAAUUUCUGACGAAUUUUAUGCAUUUGACCAAAAUUUUAAUUUUAGAUGGCUAUAAAAACGACGAAAAAUUUCCGUCUUAAUUACAUAUUUUUUUGGCGGAACUAGUGUAAAAGUCGAUUUUGUUGUACUGAUGAUUAAUAAUGUAAUAUUUGCAUUGAUAUAUAAGUAAAUAAAUAAUAAAAUUAAACAAAUUCUGAUAACUAAAUAUUAGUACUGAUAAUCAAUUAAUUGAUUAUUAAUAUAUUUUUUUGUAAUAAUAGUAGUUGCAGGAGUUUUUUUAGGAAAAUGUAGUACAAGAUCUAAUCACCAAAUUUUAGAGCACUAUUAUUUAUAGACUUCUUGGAACAGUAAAAAUUAUAAUAAUAAAUCUAAAUAAUCAAAUUUUGAUAUUUUAAUAGAAGGGGUGACAAUAUCAGACACGACCCGAAACCCGAGCAUGACCGCAAUCCGAUUUACCGGCACAAAAUCCGAAAGUAACCCGAAAAUCACCCGAUUGACCCUAAAUGGAUUCCAAAUGUCCCGAAAUUAGAAUUUUCUUCAAAAGACAGUAUUACACGACACCCUGCCUAGGAUUUCACUUCUAAAAACUUCAAUUUUCAGUUUAUUUUCAAUUCAAUUUUAAAUGAUUUUAGCGUGACCCAAAAUCAACCCGACUGCUGACACAAAUACAACCAGUUAGAGAUUCAAUUAAUGAUUGGACAACGUUGGUUGAUUAUGCAUUUAUAUAUGUUCAGUAAAGUAGCUCAGACAUGAUAAAUAUUAGGGCCCCUGAGUCCUCCAGAUUUUUGAUCUACCCUUCGUAAAUGAGACACAGCGCUGACUGUUAAGUAAAAACGCCGAGCUAGCUACAUAUAAAUAUAGAGUUUUGUCUUAGAAUACACUGCAUAUGCCGAAUACAAUGAGCACUCAAGAUCUUGUUCAUGUCUUACUAGUCUCUUAUCCUGCUCAAGGCCAUGUCAACCCUUUACUCAAACUAGGCAAUCUCCUUGCUUCAACUGGCCUUCUUGUCACCUUCUCGACCACAGAAGGUGCUGCAAAUUUCAUGCGAAAAGCUAGCAAAAACAUCGAUGAGCCGACUCCGGUUGGCGAUGGUAUGAUCCGGUUCGAGUUCUUUGAUGAUGGACUAGGCGGAAAUAAUGAGGAUCCGAGACGCGCUGAUCUCGACUUCUACACAGCUCAUCUUGAGCUGCAUGGAAGAGAGGCCGUCACAAGAAUCGUCAAGAAACACGAAGAACAAGGCCGCCCCGUGGCGUGCCUAAUCAACAAUCCUUUCAUUCCAUGGGUUUCGGAUGUGGCGGAAACACUAAACAUUCGCAAUGCGGUGCUUUGGGUACAAUCUUGCGCGUCUUUUUCGGCUUAUUAUCAUUUCCACAACAAACUGGCGCAAUUUCCAUCCGAAUCGGACCCGGAAAUCGAUGUCCAGUUGCCAUCCAUGCCUUUGCUGAAACAUGAUGAGGUUCCUAGCUUCUUGCAUCCUGAAACUCCUUUUCCGGCUUUGGCCAAAGCCAUUUUAGGCCAGUUCGCAAUGCUGUCCAAGACAUUUUGUGUACUCGUGGAAACAUUUCAAGAACUCGAAAGUGAAAUCAUUGAUUACAUGUCAAAAUACUGUCUCAUCAAACCUAUCGGUCCAUUAUUCAAGAAUCCCAAAUCUUCGAACUCUAGCGUUCAAGGCGAUUUCAUGAAAGCUGACGACUGCAUGGAUUUCUUGAACUCCAAGGAACCUGCAACCGUCGUGUACAUAUCAUUCGGCAGUAUAGUAUAUAUAAAUCAGGAACAAAUAAAUGAAAUCGCUUAUGGACUUCUGAAUUCGGGUGUUUCAUUUCUGUGGGUUUUAAGGAAACCUACCCUUUUGGGUCCGGCUGUUGUUUUGCCCGAAAAUUUCUUGGAAAAAAUUGGCGACAAGGGCAAAGUUGUGAACUGGUGCGCACAAAAAGAAGUUCUAGAACAUCCAUCCGUGGCCUAUUUUGUAACACAUUGCGGAUGGAACUCGACGUUGGAGACGAUUACUAGUGGCGUCCCGGUGGUGGCCUUUCCAGCAUGGGGUGAUCAAGUGACGAAUGCAAAGUACUUGGUUGAUGUGUUUGAGGUGGGAGUUAGAUUAGGUAGAGGUAAACAAACUGAAAAGAGUGGUGUUUCGAGGGACCGAAUCGAGAAGUGUUUGAGAGAGGCCAUUGGCCCGAAGGCAGAAGAGAUGAAAAAGAAUGCACUCAAGUGGAAGAAAGCGGCGGAGGAAGCGGUGGCAGAAGGUGGCUCAUCUGAUAGGAAUUUGAAGGACUUUGUGGACAAAAUUAAGAAUGUGUCGAAGUAGGGCUAAUGUCUGACCUACUUGUUGUAAACGUACCUCCCUAAGACCCUAACUAUCAAGGUCUUCUUAAUUAAGUUUAAGACCUGAUAUGGAGAAAUGAAAUAAAUUUUAAUAAUGCUGGUUUUCGAGGCUUGAAAAUCGUACUCCCUACAUCCCCCGCCAGGAAUGUCUCAUCCAAUUUUUUACAUUCUAAAACCUACUAAAAAAAUAGUCGAUGGGUCCCACCACUUCCCAAUUUUUCCUUUCUUUCCACACUAAUUUUACUCCAUUUUUACUCCAUUAUCCUUUUUUAUAUAUUAAAAAAUUAAUAGGUCCUACCACUUCACCCCACUUUUCAAUUUUUUUUACUAUUUUAUACAUAUAUAUUUCUUACUUGACCUCUGUGCUCAAACUAAGCGUAAAAAAUUGACAGGGACGGAGGGAGUAUUAAUCUUUGCCUGGUUUAGGUGUUAUCGCGAAUGAUUUUAUGAUUUGAUGAUAUCUACCUUCGUUGUUCAAAUCUUAAUAUGCGCAAUACUCGUAAUUCCUCAUUUUUAAAAUAAUAUCUAUAGAUUAUUAAUCAUAUAAUAAAUUAUAAAAAAAUUAUUAUGAUUAGAUUUUAAAAUUGAACUAAAAUAAUAUAUCUAAAAUAUGAAUUUGUAUUCGGGUAAUGGGUUUGGAAUCGGGAUCUCAAAACUCAAUAUAUAUUAUAUAAUAUAGAUAAUCUUCCUUCAUUUUCUUAUACAAUUUUUUAUUGUGAGCCAUAAGGAUUUCUUCAAUUUUUAUUCUUCGCUCAUCAUCCUUGUCACUAAAUUUGUUAUAUUUUUCACAUGCAAAUCAGCUAUCUUGUAAAAUUUAUAUGUAUGUCGGCCAUACAUAAUAUAUAAAUCACACGUGGAAAUAGUGUACGAGAAUCAAGCAGAGGCUCGUGCCCCCCUUCUGUUUUUCCGUCUUCCUCUCUGCCUUCAAGUCCCCGAGCUGAUGAUCUUGACGUUUUGGAAAUCUCUUUCAGUUUCGUACAAUUUUAGUUCACAGUGUUUUCCUAUACUAUAUUCUGAACUAUUCUAAGUGGUCGUUUGGUUGACAGAAACACCGGCAGUCCAACUCACUGGGAAGUUCCAAUACGUGUAAAACCUAGGAAGUAAUUUACCCAGUCCCCCCUCGGUGACUCACACUUCCGAUAGAUUUAAUUUAUGUGUAUUAUAUGAUUGAAAAUACAUACACCACUCUAAAAUAAUAUAUAAUUAGUACAUAUAAUAAUAAUAAUAACAAUAAUUAGUUAAAUUUAAAAAAAUAUAAAAAUUAAUAUUAUUAUUAUUAUUAUCAUCAUCAUCAUCAUUAUAUUCAACUCAAAAUAUUAUUGUUGAAUUAUAUUUCUUCAUUAAGAGUAUAAAAUAUAUUCUUUGAAUUUAAUAAAAAAAAUAUUGAGAAAAUACGUGUUAAUAAUAUUUUUUUGUCAAAAUUUUAAAAAUAUAAAAAUCUAAUAUAUAGUCUCAAAUACGUUUGAAUAAUUAAUUAGUUUAAUAACUUUAUAUAAAAUAAAAAAAUCUAUUAAUUAUAUUUUUGUGUAGUUAUCAGUAUGGACUAUUUUUUUUUCAAAAAGAUUAGAGUAAUUUUAAAAUUCAUAUAAAUAUUUAUGAUUAUUAUUAUUAUUAUUAUUAUUAUUAUUAUUAUUAUUAUUAUCAAAUAAUAUUAUUUAUCAUUUAAUUAUAAUAAAAACAUUAGGAUUAUUAAAAUAUAAUAGAUCGGAAGUUAAACCUACAAAAACAAACAAUAUGCCGGAGUAUAUUAUCCAUAUGUCAACCAAACAAUUUUAUAGUACUUACAUGGUAUUUGAAAAUGAUGGGAAGUUGAAGUUUCUGUAAGAAAUUACUUCCCACAUGAUACCAAACAAACACUAAUUUAUACAACAAAUUUGGAUAUACUGGCAUUCGGUACUGGCUUUUUAAAGGAGUACAAUAAUUGACGAUAACAAAAUUUCAAAUAUAUUUUUUCUUACAAAAANNNNNNNNNNNNNNNNNNNNNNNNNNNNNNNNNNNNNNNNNNNNNNNNNNNNNNNNNNNNNNNNNNNNNNNNNNNNNNNNNNNNNNNNNNNNNNNNNNNNNNNNNNNNNNNNNNNNNNNNNNNNNNNNNNNNNNNNNNNNNNNNNNNNNNNNNNNNNNNNNNNNNNNNNNNNNNNNNNNNNNNNNNNNAUCAGCUAUCUUGUAAAAUUUAUAUGUAUGUCGGCCAUACAUAAUAUAUAAAUCACCCCCGCCGUGAGUGAACGAGAAUCAAGAAGAGGCUCGUGCCCCCCUUCUGUUUUUCCGUCUUCCUCUCUGCCUUCAAGUCCCCGAGCUGAUGAUCUUGACGUUUUGGAAAUCUCUUUCAGUUUCGUACAAUUUUAGUUCACAGUGUUUUCCUAUACUAUAUUCUGAACUAUUCUAAGUGGUCGUUUGGUUGACAGAAACACCGGCAGUCCAACUCACUGGGAAGUUCCAAUACGUGUAAAACCUAGGAAGUAAUUUACCCAGUCCCCCCUCGGUGACUCACACUUCCGAUAGAUUUAAUUUAUGUGUAUUAUAUGAUUGAAAAUACAUACACCACUCUAAAAUAAUAUAUAAUUAGUACAUAUAAUAAUAAUAAUAACAAUAAUUAGUUAAAUUUAAAAAAAUAUAAAAAUUAAUAUUAUUAUUAUUAUUAUCAUCAUCAUCAUCAUUAUAUUCAACUCAAAAUAUUAUUGUUGAAUUAUAUUUCUUCAUUAAGAGUAUAAAAUAUAUUCUUUGAAUUUAAUAAAAAAAAUAUUGAGAAAAUACGUGUUAAUAAUAUUUUUUUGUCAAAAUUUUAAAAAUAUAAAAAUCUAAUAUAUAGUCUCAAAUACGUUUGAAUAAUUAAUUAGUUUAAUAACUUUAUAUAAAAUAAAAAAAUCUAUUAAUUAUAUUUUUGUGUAGUUAUCAGUAUGGACUAUUUUUUUUUCAAAAAGAUUAGAGUAAUUUUAAAAUUCAUAUAAAUAUUUAUGAUUAUUAUUAUUAUUAUUAUUAUUAUUAUUAUUAUUAUUAUUAUCAAAUAAUAUUAUUUAUCAUUUAAUUAUAAUAAAAACAUUAUGAUUAUUAAAAUAUAAUAGAUCAGAAGUUAAACAUACAAGAAAACAAACAACAUACAAGAAAACAAACAACAUGCAUGAAGUAAUUAUCCAACAUGUCAACCAAACAAUUUUAUAGUACUUACUUGGUAUUUAGAAAUGAUGGGAAGUUGAAAUUUCUGUCCCACGUGAUACCAAACAAGCACUAAGAAUUAUAAAAAUUAUUUAGAUCUCAUUUCUGUCUUUGUAUUCUGAGUCGGAGGAUGUUGUAUUUAAUUCCUAAUUUGGAGUUCACAAUUAUGAAGUGGGUUUAGUAAAAUUGGAGUGCACAAAUCAAUGUGACUGAAAAUGGGAAGGAAUCCGGACCAAGAUGGACCCGAAAUUGGACGACCAGGAUGUGGCCUAGUAGGAUCAUAAAAUUGUUUGGACCAUGUUCAAGACCUAAUUAAUUAUUCAAGACAUGUCUAGAGUUGGAUAAGGCUCUAAUGAAUCCAUGCAUGAUAGGAUGGAGUGGAGAAGGAUUGAGUUGCAUGUAGAUGGUUAUGUCAUCCCGAGAAUGGGUGAUAAGACAAAGAGGGUGAGUAUGCAAAUGCAUUGGGGCCGAAAUUUACUUCAAAGUCUUAACCCCAUUAUGAUCCCUAACGACCUAAAAUCAACUUGACCUAACUUAGCUCAAUUAUAACCCAGAGCAAUUUAUGAGUAGGGUCCAGCAUUAAUUCUAUGAGUUUAGUCAAGGAUGGUAAUAUUUUUGGAAAAUUGAUUCGAAUUCAUAUUAUUGAAUGAAUCGAAUUAUUUAAUAAUUGUAUGAUGGAAAUAGAAGGAAGGGAUAAAAAAGUGACAAGGAAAAAGGUUUUAUGGUCAUUUGCUCUCUUUUUUGAUGAAUUUUUUACAUAUAUUUUUAAAUUUUUUGAUUGGGUAAUUAAUAUUUUUAGAAUUUCCUUUCUCAAAAUAUAAACAUGUAAUCAAAAUUUUAUUUACAAAAAUUCAAUUAUAUAUAAUAAUUUUUAUAAUCCAAUCAAAUCACUUGUUAUUCUCUAUGUAACCAUAUCAUAACUUAUUAUUAUUUCGAUUUUUUUUUGUCAAGAAUUAUUAUUUCGAAAUUUUAGAACACUUGUUCGAAUGAACACUUUAGCCGACAUACUCCAAAAUAGUCGAGUACUUCCCACUAAGUGCAUGUGCCAUUCACAAGAUUGACACUAGCACUUCCCAACUUAGAUACAUUCCUAAUUUUCUCCACAAACUCUUUCAAAUUCCGAUCAGACGAGCCACCAUCAGCCACCGCUUCUUUAGCCGCCUCUUUCCACUUCAACGCAUUCUUUUUCAUCUCCGCGGCCUUCGGACCAAUGGCCUCUCUCAAACACUUCUCGAUUUUGUCUCUCGAAACACCGUUCUUUUCGGUCUGCUCACCUCUACUUAGUCUAACUCCCAUCUCGAACACAUCAACCAAGUACUUCGCAUUCGUCACUUGAUCACCCCAUGCCGGAAAGGUCACCACCGGGACGCCACUACUAAUCGCCUCCAACGUCGAGUUCCAUCCGCAAUGUGUUACAAAAUAGGCCACGGAUGGAUGUUCUAGAACUUCUUUUUGUGCGCACCAUUGCACAACUUUGCCCUUGUCACCCGCAGCUCCUAAAAAAUUUUCGGGUAAAACAACAGCCGAGGCCGAACCCAUGGUAGGCGGCUUUAGUACCCACAGAAAUGAAACACCCGAAUUCAAAAGCCCGUAAGCGAUUUCAUUCGUUUGUUCCUGAUUUAAAGAAACAAUGCUGCCGAAUGAUAUGUACACAACUGUUGCAGGUUCCUUGGAGUUCAAGAAAUCCAUGCAGUCAUCGGCUUCGACGAAAUCGCCUUGAAUACUUGAGUUCGAAGAUUUGGGAUUCUUGAAUAAUGGACCGAUAGGUUUGAUAGGACACAGUUUGGACAUGUAAUCAAUGACUUCACUUUCGAGUUCUUGAAAUGUUUCCACGAGUACACAAAAUGUUUUGGACAUGUUUUUGAACUGGCCUAAAAUGCCUUUUCCGAAGAAGGAAAAAGGAGCAUUUGGGUGCAAGAAGCUAGGGAUCUCGUCGUGUUUCAGCAAAGGCAUGGAUGGCAAUUGGACAUCAAUCUCCGGAUCAGAUUCAUCGGGAAAUAUGGCCAAUUUGUUAUUAUAAUGAUAAUAAGCUGAAAAAGAAGCACAAGAUUGUACCCAAAGCACCGCAUUCGGGAUGUUGAGUGCAUGAGCAACAUCAGUCACCCAUGGAAUGAAAGGAUUGUUGAUAAGGCACGCCACAGGGCGGCCUUCUUUGUUAUGUUUUUCCACAAAUCUAGUAACUGCUUCUUUUCCAUGCAACUCAAGCUGAGCAAUUUUGUACUCAAGAUCUAGGCGUCUCCGCUCCUCAUUAUCUCCGCUGAGUCCAUCAUCAAAGAACUCGAACCGGAUCAUGCCAUCACCAACUGGAGUGGCCUCAUCGAUGUUUUUGUUAGCUUUUCGCAUGAAGUCUCCGGCAUUUUCGGUGGUUGAGAAGGUGACAAGGAGGCCUGUGGAAGCAAGGAGAUUGCCUAGUCUGAGUAAAGGGGUGACAUGGCCUUGACUAGGAAACGAGACUAGUAAGACAUGAACAAGAUCUUGAGAGUUCAUUGCAUGUGGCAUAUGGUUUCUUAGAUUAGAACUAUUCAUAUAUAUGUAGCUAGCUAGGCGAUCUUACCUAACAGUCAGCGCUUCUGCAGAGUAGAUAAAAAUUACAAAAUAAAUUCUGGAGGACUCGGGGCCCUAAUAUUUAGCAUGGGUGAGCUACUUCACUGCACAUAUAAAUGCACAAUGAACUAACAUUGCAAGGACUACCUCUCCUUCAUUUCAAAUUACAUCUAUAUAUAUAGUUUCUAAUAAUAGAACCAGAUGUAAUAAGAUUUUUAAUAAGUAAAGCUAUAAGUUUUUAGAUUUUGAAAAUUUUUAUUAUUCACUAUGAUGGAUGAUACACCAAGUUCUUAUCUAAAUAAAACUAGAGAAAUACAAUCAUUUUCACAUGCUUGGAAUAACUCAUCGGGAAGUAUGCAAUCAAAUACUCCCUCCGUCCCUUUUUAUCUGUCCAUUUUGGAAAAAAAAACACAUACCAAGAAAUACUUGAUUGUAUAAACUUUUUCAUUAAAUACCUCUAAUUAAUAUCUUGAAAAUGGUGGAAUACCCCUACUUUAUGUCUUGAAAACAUGAAUUCAACCAAGUUUUAAAUAAGUCAAGCCUUGAAAAUUGAAAUUAUGGAGAUAUAUUUGAAAAACUAUCAUUAAAUUAGUUUUGAAAGUAUAAAUGGACAGAUAAAUAGGGACAAAUUUUCACUUCCAAAGUGGACAGAUAAAUAGGGACGGAGGGAGUAAGUCAAAAAAAGAAAAAAGAACCACGAAUAAAUCAAUCUCACCAUGAUUCCAGAACUUCUUCCCAAGCUUUUAAUAACUGACCUUCUGGACUUCCGAAUCAAAUCUCCAGUACUGUUCUUAGACAUCGAUGUUGUCUGAAAUUCAUGAUGAUCCAACCUUUGGAACUCCGAAAAUCACAAAAACAAAGACACGUAAUGUAACGAGAAAAUUUUCUAUAAAUGUUCACAUAAUAUUUCUCUCGUGUCUAUAUUAUCUAUUACAUAUUUUAACAUAUAUCCUUCCAUAUUAUACAUAUAUAGGGUACCUAUACUUUAUCUAUUUGUGAGCCAAUACAAUAAAUAACUUAAUUGGGUCUUUAAUCUCGUAGAUAAAAACCAAAACCCGUAGUCAAUCAUGAUUUCAAGACUAAGGGGCCGUUUGGGUUAGCUUAAAAGAAAUGGAGUGGAGUAGAAGUGAGAAGUAAAUAAGUUAAUAAAGUGUUUGCAAAAAAAGUAGAAGCUGUGAGAGAGAAGCUAACAUUUUCAGCUCCUUAAAAAGUGCUUCUACUUCUUUACACAAAUGGGUAAAGAAAAACAGAAGCCAGAAGCAGAAGUCGAUUCUGGUUCCCUAACAAGCCCUAAGUUUGUGGCACUCUGUCAAUAACUUGAUAGUUGAAUUAUAUGGCAAGUCUUAUCAUAGUCAAGAAAAGGAAAAGAAUUACGCAUGAUUUAUGAUUUCUUUUCAUAGACCGCGGUUAUUUGCACAGAUAAUUAAUUACAACACUAAACCUAUACACGAACACUAAACCUAAACAAAAACAUGCUUGGAUCCUUAGCCAAUAUGAGAUGCCUUCAUUCGUUUGAUACUGCAAGCUUUGUGAUCAUGCAUGGCAACUGUACAAGUGUGUUUUCUUCUGUAAUUCUUCAAAUUCUUCUUGUUAAUGUCCUCGGCCACGAUGGCUUGGCCCCGAAUAAGCCCUCUCCAUUACCAACUGCAACAAAGACGAAGACGAAGACGAAGAAGAAGAUGAUGAUAAAUAAUCAUAUAUGGGACGGGAGCUUUCGACGCCAGAUAUGAGAAGAGAAAUGAUCAAAAACGAAAUGACACCGAAAGCAAAUAGUAGAAAAUUGUAAGAGGAUGCCAUUGUUAGUUAAAAUAAAUAAAGAUUGUGUACUUGUAUAGAAAGUUGGAAGGAGGCAUAAGUGUUUGCUUGGAGAAAUAAAACAUGUUUGCUGUUUCUUUGACAUUUCUUGUUGGUGAGGUGUGGUACAAGAAAUAUGUUUAAUUCUUUAUAUUUAUCCGCUGGUUUGGGUUGAAAAAGCUUUGGUAUGAUAUCAAAAUUUGAAUUUUCUACAGAAUUCAAAGCAAUCGUAAUACUGUGCAUCUUAUCAUCUUUCAAGUGAAUUGUAUAUAAAUUGGGAUGUAAGAUUCGAUACGUAUUUUCAAUUUUUUUAAAUAUAAUUUUAUAAAUUAAUGAAAUAUCAAAUAUAUGAUGACAAAGGGUAGAUGUGCACCUUAUUAUCCGAUAAUAAAAAUUGUUAGCAAAAAUUACCUAUGUGAUAUCUAAAUGAUUUUUUUAGAAGUUAAUACAAAAAUUCAUCAUCUUAACAAAAGUAUAAUAAAAUAAAGAAUAAAAGUACCGUGUUUAGUAUCUAAUCAAAGGAAUCCCUUUUGGUUAGAUUUUAAACUUUUCUCUUGCUAAUUAUUUUAUUGAUUUAGUAGAUAAAGUGAUGAAAUAUUAUAGAUAUUUAAUUUUUGUUCACAACUAAAAUAGACAAAUGAUUUUUGUUAUAUUUAUUUAAGUUAGGAUUUAUUCGAUUUUUGUGUAUUUGGAUGCAGGUAUUGGAUACGGGUUUCGGAGCAAAGGAAUCUGAGGAUAUUUUUUGAAGAUGGUUUUUAUCUUUUCAAUUAUUAAAGUUUUAUUUUCUAAAUUUUUGGGGUCAUCUUACAUGAUCUUCUGUUAAAUAAUAAACUUUUUUGAAUGAAAGAAUUCCCUUGAUGCAGCUGUUGAUGCAGCUGUUGUAUUCGAUAUAAUUCAUCUACGUGUAUGUAGACUCUGACAGAAAAAAAUGAUAUGUCACAUCAGUAAGACAGUAUAAUUUUACAUUAGUAUAAUUAGAGCUAAACUCAUUAUACAUUAUAUUAUCUAAUAAUUGGUGAUUAAUGAUCACCGAUUAAUUCAUAUUUCACGACUCAUCGAACUGAUUAAGUUCUGCUAUCCGAUCAAUCCAAUUAAUUUUUAUAUAUACGGAUCAAGUCUGACAACGUUUUUUAUUACAUCAUAUUAUACAUGUAAAUUGUAAUCCUUCGAAAUGCUCUUAUACUUAAAUUUGUAAUAGUAUAUAGUAUAUGGUCAAAAGUCUUGAACAACUUGGGUGUUUAAGCGUUUCAGACUUUCAACUAUUUGCUACAUAAUUGAUUUUUGUCGCGCUAAUCAGUCAAGAUGAACUAAGGAUGAAUGACCACGGCAUUGCAUCCUUCAUUGAUCAUAAACAGAUUUAUGUUUGGAAGAUAAGCUGUUCGAGUUAGACUUCUCUUGUGAUAUUGAAAUUUUAUGAUAAUAAUUAAAAAAAAAUAAGACCCUCAACCUUCCGAGUUCGAAAUUUCGAAUACAUAUUUGAACAGCUUCCUACAUGAAAUUUGUUAAACUAUAGUAAUACACAGAAAGACACGACAGAUUUAAACUCUUCUUUGAUUUUCAUUGAACAAAUCGUUAGCAACAAUAACAGCUACAGUAUUGUAUAAAAACAAAUGUUGUUUACUCCUCCCAGCACUUUAACUUUUUAGACGUUUUUAAAUUGCACAAAAAUAUAAUCUUUUUAUUAUUAUUUUUUUCCAAUUUUCCUUAUUAUAAUAAUGAUUUAAAUAUUGUAAGCUUUUUUAAAACAAAACAACAAGAUUAUAAUAUAUGAAAACGAGUCUUUUUUAGACACUAAAAAAUCAAAGAGACACUUGUUUUGAGACAUAGGGAAUACUUGCUAAGACUUGAGUUCCCUCCCCAUCUCACGACUGGACUCACAUGUAUAUACAUGGAUGUCAACAUAUACAUGCUGUAUACAAAUCUUGACAGUUCCUUAUUCCAAAAGUCGAUAGUAAACACAGACUAGGAAAUGAAUUUUCUGGGUUCAACAUAAAACCAAAUUUUGAUUAUAUCUACUGCUAAGAAAGUAAGAACUUUGACUAUUCCUUCCCAGCUAAACUAAGACAUAUGAAUUAUGUUCUACAAGUGAAAACGGGAUAAAGAAAAUGGUUACAUUUCUUCAUCAAGGUCAGGCUAUCAUAUUUGAACUAUAUUAUGAAAAAACAGCUCAUAAAUUUUGGGCUUUCCCAUACAUGUUUCAUCUGCAUCAUCCAUGGUCUUCAUAUCACCGAAGACUGAAAAACAAAGGACACAAAAAUAUAAUAUAAUAUAUGCACAAGAUAUAUCCAGAUGAAAAAGGCAGUCAUGAGAGAAGAGAGCAUUCUUUAGAAGAAAAAAUUUAUUUAGGACAUCAACAACGUAUACAGAUAAUGUGUAGAUAUCCCUCCGUUGAGUUCGAUUAGCGACAUGGAAAUUGCAUCCAUCAGAGUUUAUCGCAUUUCAUUCGGAUAAAUGCAAAAUUUUGUAAAAAAAUAUAUAACAUCCAGCAUAUAAGUUUAAAGGGAAAUUGUUAAACAUGGUAGAGAAACGUGUACAGUGAUUAAAUUAUUUUAACUUCAACAUACAAAUUUGAGGUGACUUACUAAAGAAAAGUGCUCUCUCCGUCCAUUUUACAUGACUCUUUAACUGCAUAAAAAAGAUACUUCCGAUCAUCAUUUUCUGAAUUUUCUUUUAGUGAAUAAAAGUUUAUAGUGUAUAGUUUUAUCAGAAAAAUAUAAUUAAAAAGAUAAUACUCAGAAAUAUCUUUGCUAUGCACCUUAAAUUACAUGCAAAAAGUCAAAGAUGCGUGUAAAAGGGAAGAGGGAGAAUCUAUUAUCCAACCAACAGGCGACAGUAUUACUAUAUAAACUUCAGAGCGCAUUGCAGACUACAUACAUUAGCAAUGAUCAAAAGUAUGAUAACUUACACUGAAUGCAAAAGAUAACGGUGUAAUCUUUAAGCAAACUAUCAGCAACCUUUACAAGCUGUGUGCCAAGAGCAUCAGAUGCUUCUUGUGCUAGGAAUUUAGGUGCCCUGCAAAGUGAAAUAAAUGCAGCAUGCAAUAAUAUUGUGAAUUAACGAAGUAUUCACAAGAUAUAGACUAGAUAACAGCAUUAACCAGAUAUAUGUUAAAUACAUGUCUAAACACUUCAACAAUGCAUCAACUAAUAAGAUAUUUGGUAAAUUUUCCGGCCUUCAGCAUUUUGGGACACCUACAACUACAAAUCAAUAAAUUGAAACAUCAACUACCGGCACACCAUGUACCUGAAUAUACUUGUAAUGCUUGACCAAAAGGUAGAUAGUCUAAACAGAAAAAUGAAAUAACAAUUUAGGUCAUUAAUGUCAAACUAGUAUCACUGCUAGCCAUUCCAGAUGAUCACCCCUUUAGAAGCAUAAAUCUGAUUCAGUUAAGAUUAAUAGAGCUUCUCUGCUCAGAAUUCUCUAUAAUAAAUAACUAAACAAAUUUUAGACUUCACAUCAACAGUUGGGACUCUAUGCCAACCUGGUUUAUUAAAAAAAUAAAACCUGUUUAAAAUAAUCUGUUGGGGGCAGCAUGAGACCAAAAAUGUAUAUUACCGUGUUACAAUAUACAUAUUCAUCAGAUUACAAAUAUGAUCUAGCCGCCAUCUAGGAGAUGAUAGUCAUGCUGCUUUGGCAAAUUGAGUAAACAAACACAUUCAGUACUCAAGUAAACUGUAAUGAAUGCCUCUGCUAUACGUUUAUUUUACAUGAGAAAAAGUUUCAGCCACCACAACUUACUACAAUAGAUCCUCGAAAAGAGGCUGUGUCUAAACUUCAUCAAAUCCAACAAGUGAUGGAUCAACAAAUCAACUACAGCAAGUGAAAAGUUCUCCCGCAGUAAAUAGAGUUAAACAAUUUAAACUUACAACUUAAUAUAAUGAUGCCCAAUUGCCCAUUGAGCAGGAAGAGUUGCCGCUAGAAAAUGGAUUUCAGAACCAGGAUUGCCACAAUGUAUCCUUAUACGCUGUAAUGUCUUACGAAUACGAGAAACCGAUGUUUUCAAGUAUUAAGCAAGGAAAUUUCCACCAUACUUUUCACCGACAGUUGCCUGGAAAGUUCAUUUACAAGUGUCAGUGUAUAGCACAAGUGAAAUGUGUGGAAGAAUAUAUGUACAAACAUUAUUACAUUGGCAGUAAAACUAAAUAAAUCGAAUUUGUUUAGAUUUUCAAGAGAAGAAGUUUGAUGACAUCAAGAACGUUAGACGUUAGUUUAGUACAAGAGAAUCCUUAGUCUUUUAGCACUACAAAUGAACUGCCAAGAAAAUGUCUGUGGUUUACUGCUAUAAAGCAGUUCUUUGUUCAGGGGUACGCCCGUGUUACUAAAUGAAUAGAAAACACUGGUUAGACCAAAUCAAACAUACUCGCACGCCCACACGAAAGUAAGAUCUGGGGAGUGUAAGAUGCACAGAGACCUAAAUUGAGUAUGUGAGAAAAAAAAAUGUAAAUUUUUGAGAAAGUUAACGCUUUUUUAAAAUUCUGAAUAUCUAAGAAGAAAUUGAGCAGUACAGCACUUGUCAGUUGUUACAUACUCCCUCCGUCCCUCUCAUUUCUUUACAGUUUUUUUUCACUGUUCGACACGAAUUUUAAGGCUCUUAUAAAACAUCNAAACACUUCAACAAUGCAUCAACUAAUAAGAUAUUUGGUAAAUUUUCCGGCCUUCAGCAUUUUGGGACACCUACAACUACAAAUCAAUAAAUUGAAACAUCAACUACCGGCACACCAUGUACCUGAAUAUACUUGUAAUGCUUGACCAAAAGGUAGAUAGUCUAAACAGAAAAAUGAAAUAACAAUUUAGGUCAUUAAUGUCAAACUAGUAUCACUGCUAGCCAUUCCAGAUGAUCACCCCUUUAGAAGCAUAAAUCUGAUUCAGUUAAGAUUAAUAGAGCUUCUCUGCUCAGAAUUCUCUAUAAUAAAUAACUAAACAAAUUUUAGACUUCACAUCAACAGUUGGGACUCUAUGCCAACCUGGUUUAUUAAAAAAAUAAAACCUGUUUAAAAUAAUCUGUUGGGGGCAGCAUGAGACCAAAAAUGUAUAUUACCGUGUUACAAUAUACAUAUUCAUCAGAUUACAAAUAUGAUCUAGCCGCCAUCUAGGAGAUGAUAGUCAUGCUGCUUUGGCAAAUUGAGUAAACAAACACAUUCAGUACUCAAGUAAACUGUAAUGAAUGCCUCUGCUAUACGUUUAUUUUACAUGAGAAAAAGUUUCAGCCACCACAACUUACUACAAUAGAUCCUCGAAAAGAGGCUGUGUCUAAACUUCAUCAAAUCCAACAAGUGAUGGAUCAACAAAUCAACUACAGCAAGUGAAAAGUUCUCCCGCAGUAAAUAGAGUUAAACAAUUUAAACUUACAACUUAAUAUAAUGAUGCCCAAUUGCCCAUUGAGCAGGAAGAGUUGCCGCUAGAAAAUGGAUUUCAGAACCAGGAUUGCCACAAUGUAUCCUUAUACGCUGUAAUGUCUUACGAAUACGAGAAACCGAUGUUUUCAAGUAUUAAGCAAGGAAAUUUCCACCAUACUUUUCACCGACAGUUGCCUGGAAAGUUCAUUUACAAGUGUCAGUGUAUAGCACAAGUGAAAUGUGUGGAAGAAUAUAUGUACAAACAUUAUUACAUUGGCAGUAAAACUAAAUAAAUCGAAUUUGUUUAGAUUUUCAAGAGAAGAAGUUUGAUGACAUCAAGAACGUUAGACGUUAGUUUAGUACAAGAGAAUCCUUAGUCUUUUAGCACUACAAAUGAACUGCCAAGAAAAUGUCUGUGGUUUACUGCUAUAAAGCAGUUCUUUGUUCAGGGGUACGCCCGUGUUACUAAAUGAAUAGAAAACACUGGUUAGACCAAAUCAAACAUACUCGCACGCCCACACGAAAGUAAGAUCUGGGGAGUGUAAGAUGCACAGAGACCUAAAUUGAGUAUGUGAGAAAAAAAAAUGUAAAUUUUUGAGAAAGUUAACGCUUUUUUAAAAUUCUGAAUAUCUAAGAAGAAAUUGAGCAGUACAGCACUUGUCAGUUGUUACAUACUCCCUCCGUCCCUCUCAUUUCUUUACAGUUUUUUUUCACUGUUCGACACGAAUUUUAAGGCUCUUAUAAAACAUCGUUCCGUAACUUAUUUUUAAGAUUUUCUUUUUGUGUAUAAAAAUUCAAACAUCAAAUUUUUAUUCAAAAGAAAAAAGAUUAAAAAGUAAGUUACGGAAGUAUGUUUUCUGGGAGCAUUAGAAUGUGUGCCAAACUCUCAUCCCCCAAGGUAAACUACCUAAGGGGAGAGAGAGAGAGAGAGAGAGAGAGAGAGAGAGAGAGAGCAUUUAAAUAUAGACAAAUUUGCAAAACGCAACCCAUGGUUCGGAGUCUUCGGAUCUACUGCACUUUAUUACCUGAACUAUUGAUGCUUGCAGAACGCAUCCCUUAACAUAAUAUGGUGCUGCACUAUGAACCAUUUCCAUCUAUUUUAACAGUUACUGUCUAUAAACAAAAGGGUAGUUAGGGCCCAAUUUUAAGUUUUAUAAGAACAAAAAACCCCUAAUUCCAGUAAUAUACCCUGAUCGCUUCUCCUUCUGUCCUCUAUCCAGAUUCCACAAAACCCAAAACUCAUAAUUGUUACAGUGUAAACCCUCGAUUGAUAACAAGCAACUAGAGAGGCCGAUUAGGGACAAUAAUGAACUUUGCUAACCAAGAUCGAUCGAGAGGAGCAAACAUCGAAGAUCAAGCCUGGAAGAAAUCCCAAGUCCAACUAUGAAGGUAAAAAUAUUCUCUUCUAUACAUAUGUGCAGGUAUACGUACACAUCUAUCCGCCAUCUAACUAUGUGGGUGGAGAGAAAAUUUAAAAGACAAAAAACAAUGCUAAUUAGGGUAUGCAUACGGUAGGAAGAUGGGGGAAACAUGCGUAUAUAGACAGAAGUGGGGGAUAAUGGGAGAGAAGACCUUUCUAAAUCAAAUUACUCCCUCCAUCCCACUCAAUCCAUUACAUUGGGGUUGGGUAUGGGGAUUAAGAAAAAUGUGUAAAAUAGUUUGAAAAAAUAAGAGAACUGGGUAUAGUAGUGGGACCUACUAAUAUUUAUUUUAUAGAUAGGGAAAGGGGAAUGAAAGUAGUGGGUGAGUUUAGAGCAUCUCAAAUAGUCUCCUAGUUAACUCCUAAAGAUAAUAUAAAAUAUUAAGCUCCUAGUAAAUUAGUAUAUUAUCAGGAGUGUGAACUCCGACAAUGCUAACAUUAUACCCACUCCUAACAUUAUAUUUUAUUCUUAUUUCAUUAUUUGAACUCCACUAUGAUAAAAAUUCAAAUUCAAAUGAGAGAGAAUGUAUAUUUUAUCAUAAAAAAUAAGUUAACAAUCAUGUAGAGGCUCUUAAAAGAGAGGAGAGAGAAGAGGCUCCUAGUGUUUUUAGGAGCCACUAAGGGUCUCUUGGAGCUCUAUUAUUUCUCAUGCUCCUUAUUUAUGGUCUUAAGAGACUAAGAGCAACUCCAACAAUCAUCUAAAUUUUCCUCUAAAAAUAAUAUAAAAAUUCAACUCUUAACUAUUUGGAGUUGCAACUUCAUAUACACUCCAAGAGUCUUCCUCAAAUUCACUCUCUAUCUAUUCUUUAUUACUUAAUGAGAUAUAUAUAAACAAAAUCAUGCAUGUAUGUUGGAGAUAGGGAGAGGAGAGAGACUCUUAAAAAUGAGGAGAAUGAAUGAGCUCUUAAGGAUUUGAAGAAGACUUAGGAGGCUCUUGGAGCUUGGUUUUGAAAAAUUUCCUCAAAUUUUAGCUUAAGAGCUUCAAUAGAGAGAUUGUUGGAGAUGCUCUGGAGUCUAUUGGAGAUGCUCUUAGUUUCUAUAUAAUAAAAGUUUACUAUUAGAAAUGGAUGGGGAGGAGGGAGUAUAUUAUUAUUUUCAACAACAAUUUGGAUGGUAACAGUCAAAAUAGACAAAGGAUGGUCAAAAGGGUUUAUACAGCAGCNCAUGGGAAAGAGUUUUGCAUACAAGUCAUGAAUAUAUACUGAUUUGGCGAAACACUUGUUAAAGACUCAUUUAGAUACAACAGAGACUUGUCAAGCAAAUUGCUCCUAGAUGUUUCAAAAAUAAAAUCUGGUGGAACAAAAUAUCUCUCAUUUUCCCCUCAAAUAUAUUGUUAUUCUUGGUUUCCAAGGAAAGGUUGGUAUGUUGUCUCGAAGAGUGCACCAAUCCCUCGAAUCCGGUACCAACGGGUAUUAUCCCCCCCAGAACAACGUUCUCUUUCAGGCCUUUUAACCAAUCAAUACGACCCCGUAGAGCAGCUUUUGCUAGAACUCGAGCAGUUUCUUGAAAACUCGCUUCGGAUAUGAAACUUUGAGUAUUCAGAGAUUAUUUUGUUAUUCCCAAUAAGACGGCUCAGUAAAAAGAAUGAUGAAUCCAUCAGUCACUUGUUCUCGACUUUUCCAUUUUUUAAGCACACCUCAGCAGCUCAGCUCAAAGCCCAGUCCCGCAACUGGAUGGGGAUGAUUUUUCAAACAGUAAGUACUUUCUUUGUCGGUAACUGGGGUUAUCCUGGCCAUAACUGUCCAUUUUAAAUGGCAAAAUGCAAGAACAGGCUUGACAAUCCCCGGACCAGACCAUAUUGUGUUCUCUUUGGUGCAGCAAACAAUUAGAGAAAAAAUCCACUCAAGCUUCAUAAAGGCCAUUUCGAAGGAUCGAUUCCUAUGCCUACAUCACUAUGCUAUUCAAUCAGAUUCUUCUCUAGGGUUUGACAUUACAGUUAUCUUAAUUUGCUUAGAUUAGGUAAUUGGAUAUGGUUCGACGCCCUUACGAUUGGUACUUUAUUUUAAUUGAUUGAUGGCGGAGGUGGAGUAUGUUCCACUCUAUGCUCUCCUAGGUUUAGUACCUUUUUUUCUUGUUGGGUUAAUACAAUUAUAACUAGGCAAGAAAAGAAAGUGCAGAGGCAAAUCAAUUAAUACAACUGCAAAGAUAAUUGUUAAACUGUAAAAUUGAUUGUGCAAACCUGAAUUUCAGGAAGAAUGACGUUAUAUGCUUCUAAAAAGAAUGUUGACUUUUUCGAUAACCUGGAGCAAUAACGAACCACACUCAGUAUCAUUAUUGAACGAUAUAGUAGCUUUAUGAAGGAAGUUGUAUAUAAAAUUUAAACCUUAAUAAGUAUCACGAUAAUUCAAGUCAAAUCCCAGCAAAAGAACUCAACAACAAAUAUUUGUCACAAUGAAACAAGAACCUACUCUUUCAUAAGUCAAUGUCUACUUCGAUAACUGGCAAGUAUUGUUCCCGUACAUCAAGUGAGCCGAAAACAUAAUACAGAAUUGUGUAAUACAGAUCAUCUACAUUGCAAUUAAACCUAUACUCCGUAUAAUUUCCCUAUAUUAAAUUUAAAAUUACAAGACAAUGGGAACCUAGAUAUAUAUAUAUAUUUACAAGUGAUGUGUAACAUACCUUUUUAGAAGCCGAAAACAGAGAUAGAUCUCUUCAAUAUCUGUUUCUAUCUUUACUUCAAUAUACUGCUUGAAUAGAUUACACAAGCAAAGUAUAGCAUCAUCCAGACCAUCAGGAGUUAAACCAAGGCUCGGAACAAAAUUAGACCUAGCUCGUUGUAGUAUUGAAGAUAAUUUCCCUGCUGAACCUGAUUUGUAAUAAUUAUCUGCAAAAAUAUUUAAAACCAAACAACUGCUCAUUUUGAAAUUUUCAACCCAUUUCGGUGGAUUCCCAAGCCAAUACUCAUUGGCUGAAAUAGAUCCCCUCGAGCCGGACAAAUUAUGAGUAUACUCUGAAUCAGAUGACUGCUGAGGACAGGACUCGGCAGGAACAGGAUCAGAAUUACAUUCUUGCUUCCUGUGUGCAGGAAGAAGCUCAAGAAAUUCCGCUUUCAUUUCCUCAGGCAGUUGAUGCAGAACCGAAACAUCAAUUUGGCUUAGAGAGUAAGGCAUUACAUCAAUAUUUCUAGAGAAGGAAGAACCAUUAUUUCCCGCUACCAUCCCAGAAGCAGCUGUUACCGAGACUUCCUUAACUGUACUCUGUUUAAUCAAAAAGAAACAAGCAAAUAUCUCAGAGCAUACAAAGCAGAUAUAACGACACUAUAACUGAAAUUAAGAGAGCACACAUGAUAGUUUCACACAAUUAUCUUCAUUAAAUUCUUGAUUGGUCACAUCAGGAAAAAUUAAUAAUCACAUAGCUCAGUAACUGCUUUACUCAAUUGAUGCUCAAAGGGGUCCUUGAGUAAUCUAGACCUCGCUAGAAAUGAAUGUAACUUCUGAGGCCUGUCCUACUUUUUAUGGCUUGAACAUUAAGAAAAGUUAUGUUAAUUGUAAACUAUAUAUGUAAGAAACUUAGUCACAUCAAGUUAUUUAUUUUGUAUGUUUAUCAAAGAGUUCUUUUGAAAAAUAAAAAAUAACAAAGAGGCAAUUAAAGAAAAAAGAUAAUACUGAAAGAGAGAAAAAAAGAAUGUAAAACACACCGUUUUCUCUGCCUUGCAUGGUCUCAAAGGGACCACAGAAGGAACACUAGUUCCCCUUUCCUCUGAUGCCAUCCCUACAUCAAAAUCAAACUUGUAUAUAAUGCAUUGUAUAAAUAGCAAAGAACAUUUUGUUUGGCAAUUGGGUUGCAAAGUUAAGACCGCCACUUCCAGGAGGUAACACAUACCUCCAAUGUUGCUUUCAGCAAGUUUGCCUUUACGCUUUGACAUAAAUGAAAUUAGUUUUCCACUAUACCGGUUGUUAAGUUCAGAGAAUACAUCAGGAGGUAGAUUCUCUAUCACCCCCAUAUCAAGAUCACAUAAAGGAGGGAGAACAGAGUCUCGGUUGACAUGACCUUCACUGCUCAAAAUAUCACUACCCACAAUCAUAUUUGUGCACGACUGCUGCCCCAAAUUUCCAUCUGCAUUCUGAUUCUCUACAUCAACAACAGGACAGAAAUAUAAGAUUACAUUGUAUCAGUUAACAGUUGUGACCAGAAAGAAAUUUUUGGAACUGCAAUCAAGAUCAAAGCAAAAGACAAUUAUAAUCAAGCUACCGACAGGGGAGCUGAUAACAUUAUAUUUACUUCAUCUUAUACUAAGAUUUAUCAUUUUUCCAUUAAGAUUACCAGCAGGAAGCAGUAAGGAGAAUCCAUGGAAAGAUGCAAAAAGAAAUCAUGCAAUUUGCAAGUUUCUAAAUUCAGUAUCUGCCAAAAUAAUAUAGAAACACAUUGUCUACCCGCAUCUUAUAGACGCAGACCAAGAAGAGAGACAUAUUCCUGGCAGUAGCAAACUAAUCAGAGGUGCAAACACCAUAUCUAUAAAGAUAAAGAAGACUUUGAAACACCGAGAUUGAUUAUUUCUUUUAUGUGCCAUCACUAAGCUGUAACAAUCACAGAGGAAGAACAAAUGAAACCAAGGUAUUAGAGGUACCUCUUUCACAACUGCCUUCUGCUAUAGAUUUAACUUCACAUUGAUCUCUGUUAGUGCUGGAUGCAGAGAUGAGCCAAGAACGUAAAAAAUUCUUUUGGUUCCCUAUGAAUGUACACCAUCGUUAAAUUCAGCAAGCAAUUUUAAGAGAAUGUAGAGUUGGAAUAAACCUUAUACAAAUAUAUUAUAAAAAAAAAAAAAAAAAACGAAUUGUACAAUUGUAUAGGCCUACCUAAGUAGAUAUAUAACAGAAGACAAUACAAUAGCCUAUUGAUCGAAAUUUAGAGUAUCAGGUUAUUAGAACCAAACCUUGAUGACCACUGUCUGCAUUUUCAAGUUUCGAAACUUGCAACCCCAUCCCCCGGAUCUCCUUCACAUCUUUCCAUUAAAAAAGCACACAAUUAGCUGAAAUCAGAUUAGCUGGAGUACAAAUUAAAUAAUAAUUCCUAAGAAAUAAGACAUGCUUUUGGGUCAAAAACAUGCAAAUUUUAAUAUUAUAACCAAGCAAUUGAACAUGCAUACAUGUUGGACACCCCCCGUUCAGACCAGGUGACAAAGUAAGAAUGUAUACCUAUGUGAAAUAAAUCAAACAGCUUUAUUGCUAUCCUGUGCAGGCCAUCUACGUCAUCAGUAGCCAUAGGAACCUGUCACAGAGCAAAUAGAUCAAGUCUAAUUAUAAUAUCUAGGCUGUCAACUAUUCAUAUUGAAUAAUAUAUAUAAAUUCAUCUACUACUACCGUUAAUGAAUGACUAAGGUUUUCACAAUCCCCACAGCCCAUAUAUUUCACUGGGUCUCCAGCAUCAGUUUUUCUCUUCUUUACCUAGAUAAGCAAAAAAUAGGUUGCUUCAACUCGAAGGACGCAAAAGAAAUUCAUACAGAGCAGCAAUCUGAAUAGAGAUCAGGUAGCUAAAUAAGGAAACCUUAAGAGUGAAAGUGCGGCCUUGCACUCCAGCUCCUUGCAAACGCAAAGAGACCUCUUUGCAAAGGUUUAGGAGAAAAUAUUGGCACUGCAAUUAGAUAUCAGAAGUUGUAGUUAUCUAAAACAGUGGGAAAUAUAAAUAAAGACAAUACUAAUAUUUUCCAAACUGUUGAACCGCAUAAAGACUAUACUAACAUGUUCUAAAUUAUUGAACCUCACUCCCCAGUUUACUUCAGCACCUAUAGACUUGCUUUCCUGAAACAAGCAAAAGAGUAGGCCGGCUAAGAGCAAAACUAGUCUGUAUUAGUGCAACACACAUAACAAGAUGAAAGGUGUGUUUAGUAGGAAGGAGCAGACAUUUUAUUUGUUUAUUUGUUUGAGUAGAGAAAUGUUAUUACAUAUAACGUUACUACCAAAUGUACUUAUAAAUAUACACUGUGCCAUCUAAUCAAUUAGGCAGAGUAAUUUGAUCACCCUGACCUGAAACGCUCCAACAGACCGAUUGUCUAUUCCUCUGCUAUAAUUCCAAAGCAUGUCACCAGUUUUUAAACCAAAUUCCUUUUGAAGAGAUUCCUGCAAAAUCCACCUAACAAAUGUAAGGUUCUAUAAGCACAACAUAUUUCACUAGUUUGUAGAAAAUAUUUUUCUAUGACAAGACGAUGCUUUGUACAUCCAUGUAAUGAGGAAGAUAAACAGUGAAGUAGGUACAUAAGUGUGGAGUCUAAUGACAAUGGUUAAGAUGUAUGUACAUAAGUACAGUACACAUAUAAUUAUUGUAAGACUCUUACUUAGAUUUUGUUUUACUACAUAAGGAAAACAUGUUUAGGGGUCAUGUAAGACAAUUAUCUUGGGCGCGCUUAUGAAAUUACAAUCUCAAGUACUAGACUGAUAGUUGUCCAAUAGUAUGCUCAGAGUUGAGAGCUCAAGAUAGUCAUUGCAAACUGCAGAUCAAAUAGGCUAAAAGCCUGAAACCUCUAGAGUCUUAUCAUAGUCCCAGUCGCAUUAUUAUGUAUGCAUCUCUUAAAUGCACGACAAAUCCACAAAAUACUCUAAAGAGCUAUCUGAUUCACAUACUGGCUUCCAAGUAGCAAAAACAAGAAAAUUGGGAGGAAACAACCGAUCUGAUUCUGGUCUUUUAUUAACUCAACUAGCAUGACUAAGAACAGUAAUAACAUACAGAUCACAUACAACCAUGUUCAACACCUUCAUUACAACUAUUACAUAGAUUUUGCAAAUAUUGCUAGUAGAUAACAGCAACAGAGAGAUUCGGAAACCUGUAUACCAAUCUCAGUCCAGUUUCAAACAUAAAUUUACAAGUAAGAUCUAAGAAACCUCAUAGGUAUUAUAUAAGAUGAGGAGCUACUCAGUGAUAACAAACAGAAUAUUAGGGGGAAAAAACGAAAUAUGAUGGAACAAGUGAAGCCCAUGGAAAAACCUUGGAAAUCAGACGCAGUUGUUUGCAUGUUUUUACUUCUCUCCUUUUCAGUUUAUCCUCUAGGACAUGCCCAAUUCCUGGAAGUGCUUUAAUUGGAAGUUCAUUUAAAUACUCUUCCACCUGAAACACCCAAUACCCUUCUAAUCAGAAAGAUAAACAGAACAGUCAUUUAGAUGUGCAGAGCAAGUAAUCGAUAGAAUACAAUCAGACAGAAUUGAACUAAUCAAUACAUAGUCCAUCAUCACUUUAAAACUCAAACUACUUGACUCUGUACUCUGCACUAGUGUUUACCAUUUAACCUGACUUGAGACUUGACCUCGAGUGCUUUUAUCAAAUUGUAACACACUCCAAUGCUAGAAAAGUAACGCUUCAGGGUAGAAAGAACAAGAACUAAAGUCUUCUAUCUUUUAAACAUAAAGAAUAUAAUUUACUAACUCCAUCCCCCAAAUCAGAUUUACCCUCAACUUUUUACAAGUAUGUUAAGGAGCAUCGACCACAUAACCCCUUAAUUUAUUUUUAUAAAUUUUCUUUUUGUAAAUAAGAACUUGAUACUUAAAUUUUUAUUUACAAAAAUAUUAAAAAUCAUUUUAUGGAGAUUGCAGUCCACAUACAUGCUAAAAGUCAAGGGAACAUCUAAAUAGGGAUGGAGCUCAUAACACUCAAAGGCAUCUGGUAUACCAAAAGAAAAUAAUUCCACUUCUAAUGUAUCAAAGUCAAAUGAAAGAAAAAUGGUGGCUGAUAUACCUUAUCAGCAGGAAUGUAGCACUGACCGUCUGGUUUAGCAUUUCUAGUUGCAAGGCGCGCCAUGAGCAUAUUCCCAGCAAUGCCAACACUUGCUUUGCAACCAGUAGUAUCAAAUACCUCCUUCCUUAUUAUCGAAGCUAAACACUGAUGAUCCUCUAUCUUAGAAUCGGAGACAUCUAAGAAUGCUUCAUCACAACUAACAGCCUGCAUAUAGCUAAAUUGUCAGUUCAAUAUCAUAUACUCCCUCCGUCCCACCAGAUCGUUUACGUACACUGUUUGCACGCAUUUUGAGGCUCAUGUAAAGUAUAGUUCUAUAAUGUUUUUUUAAUUUUUUCUUUUUCUGAAUAAAAAUUUAAACGUCAAACUUUUUUUCAGAAAUUUUUUUACAAAUAUAUAUACUAUGUAAGUAUCUUUUAUAUGAGCCUCAAAAUACGUGUUAAAAAGUAACAUAAAGAACCUGAUGGGACUGAGGGAGUACCAAACAGCCAUAUUGUUGUAAAAAACAAAAAUAACUCAAUCCAACCUGCACUUUGUUGCAGUGCUUAUGCAGUAUGCCAUAGAAUUGAUCAGCGACCUGAAAAUCACUCAAAAAUCUAAGACUUAUAAGGGGGAUAGACAUAGAUGAAAGAACAUGCUUCUAGCUCUUAGCAUAAAAUAUGUACAGUAAUGCAAUCGGAGAUAUUUGUUGCUUAGGUACAUACCUCUUCAUAUGCUUCAAAAUUAUAUGGAACUAUGACAAGGUCUGGGCACAUGGAUUUUGCAUCCCUAACAAAAAUUCCUGCCCUAACCCCUGAGCAUAUACAAGAUAUUAUUGACAUAAGAAAGUAACUUCGAUGUGUUCAAUGCAGCUUGAUAUAUAUUCAUAACAAUACCAACCAUAAGCUCUGGCAGGAUAAUUUGCUGAUGAAAUUUCAGCAGUUCCACGAGGAUUGUCAGAGUGACAAACAGCAACAGGCUUAUUUUGUAAUUCAGGAUUGUUCCUUAUAACGACCGAAACAAAGAAGCAAUCCUGCAGUACAAACAUGGUUAGGUUUCCAAAUUCAAAAUGAAACAUAAUGAAUUUUAAUUUAUACAGAUAUAAAUGCCAGAUUCCAAAUAUAUUUUUCAUGUUUACCAUAUCUACGUGAAUAACAGUUGCCUGUUCAUCAGUCAAGCGGGUAUGGAGACUGGAAUUUGUGCCUUUAGUUCCGGAAUAUGUGGCAGGAAAAAGCUUGCGGUAGCGAUUCCUCCAUGUUCCAAUAAAGUGCAACCUUGAAUGCUGAAAUUAAAGAGCAGUCAGAAAUACUGCACAAUUCCAAGAAUGUGCCUGUCUGUCGACAGCUACUUACCUACUUUAUUAGUACCUUCCAAUCAUAAAAUAAACUAUAAGCUUCAUAAUUAUAAUCACGAAUAUGUUACAUUAAGUGACCAUAGUCAAUUAGUAUGCUACAUACAUUCUCUCUCCUCUUUUAGAGUAGAGGUAUUGUGUGCAUGUAUCUUAGUAUCUUACCAUCCCCAGACCCUGAUGUACGAGUGGAUUACACAAGGUAUACUAGGUUCAGUUUAGUUAGCUAUUUACAGAAAAUUAUGAACUAAACCACAGAUACUCAAGGCAAGACAGAACAACAAAACACUGAACUGCCACAGCAAACAUGUUGUGAAUGCAAGUCAUAAAAUAGUAACCGAUUCAUUCUUUUCUUGGCUAGCCACAUAUAAGAAAAAUAAUGCACACAUGAAAUUUAUACUAUGAGAUGUAAGCUACAAUUUGUACAAUAAUGUGUCAUUACAGUAUAAAUACAACAAACACUAAUAUUCCUUUUUAUAUUUACCUUAAAAUAAUUUUCCACGAAAUUAGGGUCCUCAAGAGUAGAAUGACUUGAGCUCAUAACAAUCCUUGAAUUUGAGGAUUCGCUAAUAUUAUGCUUGUCCGUGGAGUAAGUGCUAUGAGAAGUAGAAGGCUCACCAGGACUGAUAAAUUUGAGUUCAUUUUCAGCAAGAAUACUGUCUGAUGUAGCAUCACCUGGUUCAGAUGUGCUAGGUUCACAAAGUUUUACAUCAUUACAUCCUAUCUCCUCAUCUUUUGCUUUGAUGAGACUCUCAUUCAAUGGGAUGUCAGUUUCUAUGUUUGCAUGUGUUAUCUCCUCUAGGAAUUGACUUUCCCCAUAUGAGUUCUUAUUCACUGCUGAAUCUACCUUCAGUUGAAUGUCAGAUAAUACGUCGCACUGUUCUGUCUCUUUUCUGGUUUCACCUUCUCCAAAAGAGUUGUUGGUCACCACUGCAUCUAGCUUAGGAGUUUGAUCCUCAAUCUUAGAUAGUGGCUGACCGAUCGCAUUAGUAGCAUAGUUACAUGAGAAUGGGCUCCUUUUCAGGGGAAAGAAUGCAGACAAUUUUGGUUGUCCCUGAGUUUCAGUAGCAAUCUGGUCAAGUUGGUAAGAGUGCCCUAGAACAAAAUAUGUGAUGUAACUUGUAAGUAGUGGAAACACAUUUCCAAUAAGAAAACCCAGAUACUGGUAGGCAGUAGUAUAUCAUAAACUACACAAGCUAAAACUGAGUACUCUAAAAAAGGUAAAGACUAGCAUGCAAAAACUAUUACUGAUAUAUUCUGAUGCUCACAAAUCACAACUUCUAACCACACUAUAGGGAACACUUACAACUCAAGAGUUUGUUAGCAGCAACAGAAUCUAAGACCCAUGUUGGUUUCAGUACAGGAAGUCCAGCACUGAAAGACCUGAUUAUGGAUCAACAAUAAGAUUUUUAAGGGGAUUUUUUUGUGAACAUAUAAGAAACAGUAUUUUUAUUGAAAGUAAUAGUAAAAUGCUAACCUCAAAUUCUUAAUUUUACUGUCAGGAAGGUUACUGCAGAUUAUGUGAGUAACACGAUGCCGUGAAAAAUAAUUUUCGAAACGCCCGCCAUGUUUCAACAUGUAACCUCUUAGCUCCUGAACAGAACCAUUUCCAAUUAGAAAACAAGAAAACAUGCACAACCAAUGCAACUAAUGGGUUCCGAACAUGCGUGUGGGUGUGUGUACCUAUACUGUUUGUGCAGUGUGUCUUUCUUGAUUCUUCAACCUUUGGAUGUAAAUAAAGUAUUCAAAACUUCUACUUUUAACUAAGAUCUCCAAGCUAGAUAAAUUUUGUUCAUUUAAUAUGUAAAAUAUCCAGAGUCCAAAACCAACCUGACUGGAAGGAAUCGUGAAUCCAUCAACAAAAAUUGAUACCCCGUGAAAUAUAGGUUUUCCUGAAGACAAUUCUCCUUGAAAGGUGGUGGAAGCGGCAGCAUCAAACUGUUCAUGUAGCUUCUGAUUCUUAACUGCCAUGUAACUAAAAGAGAAUAUAUCCAUAUGUUUAUCACUUUGUUUCCUCAAGUUCAAGUAACAAAAUAUUAUCCACUACAAAACUAAUUAUAACAUGAACAUCAAUUUUUUCUAUCCCAACACGUUCAAUGUCACUUGCAUGGAAGACAAAAACUCAAAUUCCGUAUAGGUUGUUUUAUUGAUAUCGUUCAAAUUUAUUUUAGGUAAUUUGGUUGGUAGAGGUAAAAUUAUGACUCCAUGAAAACAAGAUAAAUGUUACUUAAUUCCUUCCAAGUAAUACACCACAUGUUUUUUCUACUAAGAAAUGAAACAAAAUUAAAAUGACAGUACUAAAACCUACAUUACCUGGGCUAGGCCAAAAGUGUCCAACAUAGAUACGUGUCGGACUAUCGAAAUAUUUUGAAAGUUUUACAAUUUUUUGGUCUAAAAUAAGUGUCGGAGUGUUUAUACCCAUAUUCGAGUGUCAAGCGUCCAACAUGAGUACUAGAGCCAGAAUGAAGUGGGCUUAACAUAAAAUUAUACAACCUAUACCCAUACAUAUAAUCAUUAAAACACACAAACCAAAAUAAAUCAAAUUAGUCAAUUACGAUUACAGUUACACUUCAGCAUAAUUUUAAACCUCAAAACACAAAUCUCAUAAUUCACUAAACAAUAUGCAUGAUCAAAUAUAACAAACGCUCAUAAAUCUUACUCCCUCCAUCCCGCCAGAUUGCUUACGUACGCUGUUUGCGCGCAUUUUGAGACUCUUUUAAAGUAUAGUUCUAUAACGUUUUUUUAAUUUUUCUUUUCUUUUUUUGUAUAAAAGUUUAAACGUCAAACUUUAUUUCAGGAAUUCUUUUUUAAAAAUAUAUAUAAUAUAAAUAUACUUUAUAGGAGCCUCAAAAUGCGUGCCAAAAAGUAACGUAAAGAACAUGUUGGGACAGAGGGAGUAUUUACUCUGACUCAAGUACAAAGUAUCGGAAACGACAUGUAUAUGAGUGCCGAACUCGAAAAAUCUAAAAAUUCGGGGACAUGGUGACAUUGUCCUACUUUUCGACUAAAAUACAGGGACACGACAAUUAAUAAACAUGCAUGAUAAUUAUAUACCUCAACAAAAAAUAUUAUAAAGAAUUUUGUAGACUAGGGAUCGUUUGUGCUUGUUUUUUUAUAUAUUGUUUCUCCUAUUAUUUUUGUUUUGCUUUCUAUAUUCGGCUUAUAUGUGGUCAUGAAGUUGGUCAAAGUGCCCACAUUUCAAUCACAGGAUCCAACACGGAAUAAGUGUCAAACACGGGUACAUGUACCCAAACUAAAGAGUCGGGGAUACGUAGCAUAUAUCACUAAUUAUCAACCUACACACCUACAUAUAAACAUAAAACACAUACACACCAAAAAAAAAAAAAACAAAUAUAGUCACUUACGAUUACAAUUAUGCUCAUUACGUCAUUAGUUCAUCGCAUUUUCAAGCUUCUAACCAAAUUCUCAUAAUUCACUAAUUACACCAAAUCCUAAUUCACAACACAUAUAAUCUCAAACCAAAAGAAAUCAUAUAGUCAACUGUAUUUAAGCUAAUCGCUUAGUCAAGCUAUUUAAUCUUCUAAACCUAAUUCUCAUAUUCCACAAAAUUACAACUAAUGAAAAUGCAUAACCAUGAUCAUAGCAUAAUUCCAUUUCCGUUUCAUCAUAAUUUCAAAUCAAUAAGUCAAUCUUGAUCACGCUAAUCGCAUCAUCAUGCUUUCAAUCUUCUACCCUGAAUUCUCGUAAUUCCACCAACUACAACCACUCAAAACGGAUAACUACACAUAACAACAACCAAUUAACUCUCAAAUCAAACUAAUUUACAAGCGAAAAGAGCGCACGGACCUUGCGGUAUCGGAGAACGGAGACGACUUGAACGUCGAAGCGCGAGAACCGGCGGCGCUCCAAGCCACGCCUAGGGUUUUCUGGUUCGUUUUGUUCUUCUUGUUGGUUGAUUUAGUCGAUGCGUUUGAGCUUAGGGCUCGUUUCGAUCUCGAGCUCAUUUUUGGCGGGAGAAUUUGAAUUGAUUUGAAUUAGAGUAAAAUUGUUUGAUUGUGUUGUGGUGUGUGUGUGUUUUUGUAGAGAUGAAAAUGAAAGGAAGCUUGUGGAGAACGAUUUAGAAAUGGGUGGAGAUGGAUAGAUACAGGGGGUGUAUGUAGAUGCUUGCACGUGUUGUGUUUAGAUGUUUGAAUUUGAGGUGUUUAAAUAUUUGAAUCGAUGUGUGUGGAUUGGGCUUGUUUGGGUUGUAUUUCUUUGGUUUGGAGUUUGGACUGAUCAGUCCAUGACUAAAGAAAUUUAUUGCAUACUAUUAGAGUCGGUUGUGCGUGGAACUUGGAAGGCUGAAUUCGGACACGUAAAAUAUUAAGUAAAAAUUCGUUAAAUUUGUAAAAUAUUGUUUUAGGUUGAUAUCGUGUAUGUUAAUUAGCUAUAUUUUAAAAAUAGUACGUUAUAAUUAUUUCAAAUUGUUAAAAAAAUUAAUAUAAUAAUAGAUGAUGUGGCAUUUGAUACAAAUAUGUAGUCAUUCGACAAAUCUAUUCAUUUACAGACUACAAGGGUUCGCUAAAAUUAUAUAGAUAAGAUAAGUGUGGCAUUGGAGUAUGAGUUUUCAAAGAGAUUGCUGGUAUUGUAUCAUGACUUUUAAUGACAAAUUUUGGGAGGAUCACUUUAAUGGAUUUUAUAGACUUUUAAUGACUCUCUUUGACUUCUUAAGAUUUCAAAAACAAUUCAUGACUCCCGAGACAAUGACUUUUAAAAACUUUAACAGACUUUUUUUUACAAAUUCAUGACUUUGAAAUACUUUAAUAGACUUUUAUUAAAAUCAUAAAUAGCCUAUCUGAAAUCCUAUAGACCUUUUGCUAUACCCUCUCGAUCUUUUGCUAUACCCAAGUUGGGUGUAUGUUCACAAAUCUAGCCACUACAAAGUCAAGUGGGUGUAUGUUCACAAAUCUGGCGACUACAAAGUCGAGUGUACAAGGUAUUAUUGUUGUAUUAUAUAUACUAUAAUACUGUUUAUUGAAUCAUAUUUAUAAACAUAAUGUUAAUUGUGAUCUUGUAUCAUAUUAUCUUUAACAAAGGCAAAAAAAAUCCAAACUAUGCAAAACAUUACCCAGGCAUUUACUCUUCUUUGUAUCAUUACUGUGCGGAAGGUAAUAUUAUAAAUCAACGCUUGCUAAUGAAGCAACAAGUGGUCAAGUACAGGUGAAUUACGGGUUAAUGCUAUAUUUCAUCACCGUACUCGAUCAAAACUUUCAGUUAGCCUACCGAGUGAAAAAAGCUUUCAGUCAACUAAUUGUACCCUUUAAAACUUGCAGAAAAGUCAUUCCGUUAGUCUCCGUUAAAAACUUUACGUGUUAAUGUUCUAUUUCAUCACUAAUUUCGAUCAAAAUUUUCAAUCUACCUACUGAGUAGAGGACAGUUUACAAGUAAUCAGGCUCCUGAUCCUUCACCAUUUCCUUUCUUCCCUCCCCAGCAGAAGAAGUAAAAUGCAUAGGUAUAAAGCAUAAUGUUUGGCAAAAAACCAUCUGCCAACAUUCUAUCAAGGUAAUGAGGAGCAUUAUGAAUCAUAUUUUUCUUAAUGAACCCACUUGUAAGAGCAUAGUAGACCUGGCAACUGGGCUUAAAAAACCGUACUCCGCCAUAUUAUCACAGAUUUCAUAUACACUCUCAUCUUCAUUUCUUCCAUUGAACACACAGACCACAACACACAGUAAUCCCGGUCCCAAUAUUUACUCGGAUUUUGAUCCGAUUUUGAAUGCAAAGACAAUGUCACCGAGGUUUGCAUGAGAUCUUGGCAAUGACAAAAACAAGAUAACAUUCCGAGACAACUAUUUUUUUUUUAGCUUGGUGAAGGAUAUGAUAUCUGAUAAAACCCACCUUUGAUCAUCCAUGUUUUAUUGUUUUAAGUAUUGGAUCAUAUGAUUUAUAUGUUAUUUUGUAUUCUUCAGAAAAGUUGAAUAAUAGGAUUUUGAUUAUUAAAGUUUUGAUGAGUGGAUGGAGGUUAGAACGUGCUAAGGAAGUUUGGCAUUGAUUUGUUAGAUUUGUACUUAUACAAGGAAGGGAGCCCCGCUACUGGGAAUUGGUGGCAAACAUAGGUGGGUGGUAGUAUGUACAAGGAGAGUGGCAGUGAAGGCGAGGGAAGGUGAGAUAAAAAGAGAGAGAGGUUAGAAUGAGGGAGGAAGGAAGAGAGAAGGCUAGGCAGAGAUGGAGAGACGGAGAGGGAUCAAGGCUGAGUGAAGAGAGGGAGAAAGAUAGAGUGCACAGGGAGCACAACCAUACACACAAAUAUAUUUAUAUAUAUAAAAACACAAACAAAUGCAAAAACAUGUCAUUCCGUUAAUUUUAACAUCAUCCGUUAAAGUCAAAGGUAUGGUUAACGGCGUUGAAAUGUUUUUUAUACUUAAUCUUGUGAUUGAAAGUUUUUAGAUGUUUUAUUAUUCAAUUGAAAUUUUUUUUGACUCGGUUGGCCAACUGAAAGUUUUGGCCCAGUAGAGUGACGAAACAGAGCAUUAACCCGGUGAAUUACUCGUAUCCUUUGUGGCUUGUAAAAGCACAUGUUGCACUUGUCACUCGUCAUAAACCUUAUGCAUUCUUUUUCAUCUUCUAGGUGUGGAGAGCUAGAUUACUGAUGUAGCAGUCCUCUGCAGUGAAAUAUCCUUCAAUAUCUGGGCACUAAUACUACCACUAUUGAUGGCAAUACAGCAAACACAAUGAUAAUAAAGAAUCAUAAUAGAGAAGAAAAGGAACUUUUUUCACAGAGGAUGAAUUGGAGAGACUUUUCGCAGAGGAUGAACCCUAGGUUGGAGCGACCGGUUAAUUGAGUGAAGAUAAAGUCAUGUCAAAUCUAUUCAAGAAUGGCCUGACAAUUUUCUGAAAAAAUAUAUGCAAUUUUCCAUAGAAAGUCAUUAAAAGUCUAUCAAUUAUAUUUUUCCACCAAAGUCAUUGAUAUAUUGAAUAACAACUGACUUUUAAUAACUCUUUAGAAGUUGUAAUUCAAUACCUCAAACUUUGAAAGAUUUUUUAAAAAUCCUGAUACAAUACCUCUUUACUUUUAAAGAGUAUUUAAAAGUUGUAAUUGAAUACACCUAGAUUUUAAAAGUCAAUAAAAGUCAUUAAAAAUCAUG